rnacentral:lncRNA from 1 species
AAAUUUAAGGUAAUUAAAAGAAAUCUAUCAUUCCCUUUUCUAUAAAGUUGCAACAUGGACACAAUGUGGAUGUGAAAGUUUUUGCUAUACUAGAAUAUAUUUACUUCAAUCACCUGAUUAGCUUCUUACGUGGACCAAAGCAACUAGAAUAUAAUUUGACUUGGAUGCCACCUAAAGUGAAAUGUGAAUGGUUCUUUAAAUGGCUAACCAAAACCCUCUGGUAUUGAUGGAUUUUUAAGAGAUGAUGAAGAAAGAAAUUUUUAAAAAUGAGUAUUUAUACCAAAUCUAUAAUUUUUUAAGAGAUCAUGAAAGAAUGUUUUCUUUUAUUCUAUAGGUUAUGACAAUUAAAGAAUCUUUUUAAAUGAGUAUUGAUUGUUCCUAUAUUUGCAAUUACUAGAAGCUUGAUUCUUCUUUAUCUCUCUAUACGACCCAUGACCAAUCGUUUUCUUUUGAAGUUAGAUUUGUACUCUUGAGGAUGGAUGAAGGAAUGGGUAUACACAAGAGUUAAAGGUUGACAACACAAGUAGUCAAUAUUAUAAAAAAAAUUGAGGAUAAAGAGCGAAACCUCAUUCUACAAGCCAUUGGUGCAACCAAUGAAAGAUGGGAGCAAAGAUGAUGAUGUUCUCAUGGAUCAUAAAUGUAAUAAGAUUUUGAAAAAUUCAUGGAUUGUAGAUUUUGCAUGCUCCUUUCAUAUUUAUUUAAAGAAAGAAUGUUUUGAUACUUGCAAAGAAUAUGGAGUAAUGAAAACCCUUUGUGAUGUUAGUCACAUGCCAAGACUUCAAAGAAAGAAAGAAAGUUUCUGAAACCGAAAAUCUUACCAUUUUGCGAACUUCUGCUUCCUGCGAUUUGUUCCAUACACCUCUCGCAGCAUCAUCCUCAUGCCUGGUAUCGAUUCGCUUGCUCUGAUCAAGGACAAGCAAAGACAGCAUUCAGUUUUUGAAAUGUUUCAUUUUCAUUUUUUGCAAGUAUAUAUGAUGAUUAAUUUGGAGUAUGAUCCCUCGUGAUGUUCAAGAGCAAUUACAUGCCCAUUGACACCUUAAGGUCAGUUUUUCGAAAUGGCUCAGCAUAUAAGCAUACCAUUCCAUCUGACUUUGGUGCUUCAAAGCGUCCGCCUCGCAAUAAUUUCGCAACAACACCAGAUGGUUUCAACUUUUCAUUAUUAACAAUCAUUUUAUCCACCCGCAUGUCACUCACUAGUGCCUGCACUAUCUCAGAGCAGCAAUACAUUGCAGCCAAGUGCAAAGGUGUAUUUCCAUCGCAAUCCUUCUCAUUUAUAAGUGCUUCCAGAUCUUGAUUUCUCAAUAUUUCAUCCACUAUUUUCAUCUGUCCACUCCCCGCUGCAACAUGAAGAAUAUUCUGUCCUUUUUCGUUGAGAAAAUCCAUUGGAUCGAGCCAAAAAAUAAGUAGUUCGCGUACUACUUCAAGAUGGCCCUUCUGGCAUGCAACAUGGAUGGGUAAGUUGCCUUCGUCGUUUCUUUGUGAUGCGGCAACAGGACAUCGACUAACCAGGAGUCCUGCUCCAGAAAGGAAGCCCAUUGAUGCUGCAAGAUGAAGGAGAUUUCCCCCUUUUUUGUCCUCGGGAAGCAUUAUAUCCGGCUUGCCGACCGCUAGUUUUUCUAGUGCAGCAUAAUUUAAAAAUUAGAUAAUCAAUACAAAAAACACAAAAUGCAUGGAAAUAACUUGAAUUUUAUGCUUUACAUAAAAUGAAAUAAUGAAGAAUCAGUUUUAAUGAGACCAAUAAUUAUAAGUGUGACAUGUUAUUUUUCACGUUGAAAUGAUGAAAACAUGUGAUUACCUAAAUUUCCUUCCGGCAUAGCUUCUAUAAAAGAAGCAAUCAUCUCCUCGUCGCAACUCUCUACUGCCAAGUACAAGGGAGACUUGUCUUCCUUGUUCUUGUGGUAGGAAACUUCUAGGUCUUCAUAAAGGAGGAAACAGGCCACCUCUCGGCAACCCUUGAUGACUGCAUCAUGCAAAGGGGUGUUUCCUUUAUUAUUCUUCAUCCUUAGCAAGCUAGCAAGUUCAAGUGUUCUAUGAUGAAUUUUCACAUGGUUGACGAGAAUUUGAAUUGUGUCAGACUGUCCAGCCCUGGCAGCCAGAUGAAGCGCAUUAUCACCCAGGAAAUUUUCCCUGGUGAUUAGGAGGGGGAAGUGAUGACACAGUAGGUGUGUCACAUCUUCGCUUCCAUGGCUUGCUGCAACAUGAAGCAGUGAAUUUCCAGAGGCAGCAACAUGUUUGAAAAUGAUAUUGAGCACUUCCUCUGAUGAAACAUGUUCCAGUUUAUCGGACAAGAGACCGAACAGGGCAUUGAAGUUGUCUUCCUUUGCAUAGGUAUAAACCUCCUUCUGCAGUAUUUUAUUUGGCUCAGAAAAACCAUAAUCUGCAAUCGGAACUGGGAAUUUAACUGCCUUCCAUCGUUCAAGCUCCUCAUUUACUGGUCUCGGCAUAUCUAUUUGUAAUUGCAUAGAGAGUUGCAACGUGCUGGAAGAUUGUAAUAUGUCGGUUGAGUGCUCGAUCUCUUCUUGAGUGACUUAACUUUGCUGCGGUUGUAUCUGUGGUAAUUACAUGUCUUGUUAUUUGGCCAAGCAAACUAAAGAAUUCAUAGAAAACAUGACUGCAAGAAAUAUGGUAAUUAAAGUAUUAGUGAGAGAAAACGUACAUUAGCUACAUAAUUUCUCGAAAUACAAUUAUUUAGGAGCAUAAUGUCAAAAUUAAACUGUUAACGCGUUGUCGAUUUUUUCAAGUAAAAGUUUUUUUUUAUAUUUACAUCCAAAAAUAACUACGGGUUUGUGUAUUGUAUUUAUAAAUAAAAUAAUAUUUUACGACUUUUAAUAUAUUUUCUAAUAGUAUUAUAUAAAUUAAUAAACUAUAUGCACAAAUAUAUCAAAUUAAUAUAAUUGUUUUUAGCCGCAAACAACUGAUGCCAGUUUGUUAAGAAGAAUUUGAAUAGAAUCUUAAAAAAUAAUUCUCAUAAUAUAUGAAGGAGAAAAUAAUACAUAGAUAAAAGUCAAUUCUCUCCAUAAUAAAGAUCAUUCUCAAAAUGCACACUCCAAACACACUAAAGCAAAAUGAAAGGUUUAAUCAUCAUACAAUCCUGACAUAAAAAAAGAAGUCAGACCAAUCCCUCGUAUCCAUACACUCUAAAUUUUGUGCCAAUAACAAAAAAACUAAAUGCAAAAUCUAUAAAUAGUUUUUUUUUAAAAAAAAAAAACAGUGAAUAUCUUCUCUUUUGAAGAAUGAGAGAUAGAGUGUACAGUGUAGGAAAAAUUAUAAUUAACCUAAAUACAGGGAUCAUACCUCCUUUCUCUUGUUUACGAAGACGUUUCGGGUAUUUUUCAUGCACUUUCGAUGAAUUGCAAAAAAAAAAAAAAACCCGAACAAAUUUAAACUGAGAUAUUGACACCAAAAAAGAAAAGAAAAAGAAAACACCGAACCAUUACACUAAUCAUGAGAUUCCAUGUUAAAAUGAAAAGGAAAGAAUAUAUAAGAAAAUCAAUUCUGAAGGAGAACCAUAUAAAUGUGUACCUGUAUAUUAGUGUAAACUGAGAGAGAAGGAGCGUGAAGGGAGAUGACGAAGAAGACCAGUUUCCUGCAUGCACAAGUACUUUCCCUGCCAAUAAUUAGACAAAAUUAAGAGACUUGUGCAUACCGAGAGGUUUUUUAAGCUCUAAGAAACAAACUCCUUAGGUAAUAAGGUUUCUAAAAAAGAAAAAAAGGUUUCUUUGCUUUUCACUUUUCUAUUUAAAAGAGAGUGUGCUGAACAAGCAACACGUUGGCAUCCAUUUCAAGCUUUAAAAUUAGAAAAUGUGAUUUUAGAUAUAUAUUUUUUUAUUUUAAAGUAUUUUUUAUUUAGAAAUAUAUUAAAAUAAUUUUUUUAUUUUUUAAAAUCAAUUUUUAUAUCAACGCAUCAAAAUCAUCUUAAAACACAAAAAAAUAUUAAUUUGAAAUAAAAAAAUAAAAAAAUUUUAAUUUUUUUAAAAAUAUAAUUUUAAAACACAAAAACAAAUAUUACUGACUGAACUCAAAUUUUUUUGGAUGCAUAUAGUACUUUUUUCUUUUAGAAUCUUUUCUUUUCUAUUUAAAAGAGAUUGUGAUGAACGAGCAACACAUGUUGUUUUAAUAAUCCUUUUAUAAUAUCAAGCUUUAAAUUUGACAAAUUUAUAAAUUAGGUUUCUCUUAUCAUUAAUCCGAAUUCCUAAUAAUUUUUAUUCAAAUUUGACCACAUCUUUUGUUCAUUGUAGCAUUAAGCUUUGUUGAACAUCAAUUACUAAUCAUACCUGAAUUUAAGCCAUUCAAAUAGCUACCAUCGCCGCCCUGCGGUCACCAAAUCAAACGUACAUCAUACCUCUAUUUUCUAUGCUUUUAUUCAGUUUUGUAAUUGCUUGCUUCCAGUUCUUGUGCUUAGAUACUCUGUUUGCUGAUUAAGUUACAUAUUCCCUGAUCUUUUGUUUGCGGAUUCGAUUUUUAUCCCAAUUAUUUUUAUUUUUCCAAUGAAAACUUUCAAUGAACAAGUUUCUCAUCAGAUAUUUGUGUUUCAUCGGUCAUUCCAUCAUAAACUUUUUUUUUUUUUUUUUAUGGAAUGACCAAUAAAAAUAUUCAUGCUAAAAAAUUAGAUUUUAUCACCCAUUUGUCAUCGGGAAGUCCGUCCAAGAAAAGGAGCAAAUAUUACCGCUGAAAUCAUGGAUAAAAAUACACUUUAAUUUCCAAUGGAAAUUCCUUCAUCAAUUCCAUUGGAAAUACCUAAACUUUAUGUAAAUUUCGAUGAAAUGUGAGUAAAUAUUGCCGACAAAAAUGCAAUUUUUUUGGUGAUUCUGUUUGUGUUCCAUACUUUUUUUAUGUUGUUUAGUUUUUAUAAUCCCAAAUGCAUUUUUUAUUAACACUAAACUCAUAACAACAAUAAUAAAAUUAAAAAUAUUAUAACAAAAUUCCAUACAUAAAAAUUUUGUAAAUAACAUAUUAAAAUUUUUAAAAAGUUGGAGGGGGUGAAAAAAAUCAUGAUCUAUAAGCUCCACGAGAGGGAGGAAAAUAUAAAGCCAAAUACGCACGUAUUUACUCUCAUUUUCUAUUAUUUCUUGUUUGAUUUUUGCUCUUAUUUCUUCUAUUAGUUCUGCCAUUAUUUAUGCUCUUAUAUUAUGCAACUCAAUAGCCAAUUGUUAUGGAAUCCUAUCUCAAACCAUCUCCUUAAUGGCCGAUGAUGUCUGGUUGAAGUUGGAAUAUUGUGUGCCUACCAUUAAAACACUACGAAUCACCCUUGUAUCUUGGUCAAUGCUAUAGGCAUACCACAAACUAAAUUCUUAUCAAGUCUAUUAAUUGUGUUUUUCAUGUUUAACAGCCAUGUUGGCAUUAUAUAUAUUUGUCAAAACAAAACAAAAGGUCAAAAUCCAAUUAAACUUAAAAAAAAAAUAGUAAUACAAUUAUAACUAUCCAAAAAUACUUACAAUGAACUCUUUUACUGUUUCACUGUAUUAUUGAUAAACCUUUUUAUCUUUUUUGCUUAUCUUCUUUUCUUAUAUGAGUUUCCUAAUAUAAUUCCAUUGGAGUAUGUUCGCACCAAAACUGUUUUUCCUAUACAAUAAAUAGUUUGUAAAAAAGUCUCAUAAAUAAAAAAUAAAUUAAUAAUUAAAUAUAUAGCAAUGCUCUUAUUAGGCUAUUUGCAUGGUUCACCAAGGAAAGUGUUCUUCAAGUGUGCAUGCUCAUCAAACCAUGAAUUUUCUUUUUUCCUUUUGUUUUGAGACCUAGAUUUUGAGCACUUUUUAAAACCAUAUGAUGCCAAAACUUCUUGAAACUUAGCCCAAUUACUCUUUGUGACGUGUCUCGAUCAUCUAAAAUUUUUCCACAAUACUAUGUCAUCAAAGUUGGCUCUGUUCAUUGAAUAUCUAGAAACAUCAUGCCACAAAUCACGCAACCUAGUAUAGUAAUUUGAUAAACAAAAUUAAGAUAAGGAAAUGAAAUAUUAUAGUUUUACAAUAAUAAUUGUUUUUUGCAUUAUACUUACCUAAUUACAAUGUGGUUUUCCCACACAUUUCUUACAACCCCCUCAUUUUCCUUGUCCUGGUAAUUUUUUUUUCCUUGUAGUCAAACAUUAGUUAUUUUUAAAAAUUUUAAAAAACUAUAUAUUAACUCAAAGUAUAUAUUAUUUAUUUAACCAUUAACUUUUCCCAAAAACAUCUACUAUAAUCAUACAUUUAGAAUGAUCUUAAAGUUGACUCUAUUAAAACAAUGGUUUUUCAAAAACAAAUUUAAGAUUAAUUGUAUUAAAGAGAAAAACUAUAAAAAAAAAAACACAAAAAGUGUACCUAAGAUGUACAUCAUCUUGUAACCCAAAUCAAACUGACCUUAGACAAUAGGGGAAAAAAAAAAGCUAAAAAAAAUUAAAAAUUUCUGAAAAUAAGACUGCUUGAAUAAUAGCAUAGAAAAUCAAUUCAUCAAAAUCAUUUAAUGUAAAACUUAAAAUAAUCUAUUACAAAUAAAUAACUUCAAUGGUGAGAUAAAAAACAUGACUUACAUUGUGUCGUUGGCUUUUUAUGUUGCAAUAAGUUUUCUUGAUACAGGGUCUCUAGAAGAAGGGAUUCUACCUUUUUUGUUUGUGAAAUUCAUUGUUGUAAAUGAGAUCAUUGCAUAAUUAGUUGGCAUCAAAGGACAUAAUAAUCUCUCUCUUUGUAUGAUUAAUAGAAAUGAUACUGUGAAUCUGUAAAUUAUGCCAGAAACGCUUUAUUCUGUUUCUAAAGGACUCGAGGCUAUUGCGCUAAGCGUUGAAGUGCCUAUGUUCAGAAUCAUUUUAAAAUUACCUGCAUUAUUGCAUUUUUGUUCCACUAGAAAUUGUUUCUGAUGUUUUCGACAUUUACAAAUAAUGCAAGGUCCUAUCCUGGUACUGCUACAUCUGCUUGGUGUCGCCUUGUUAAGUUAACUGGGUAUUUGCAUAAUGUUUCCAGGCUGAUGCUUUUGAAAGCCAGCGUGGACAAUGCAUUGAUAUCACCUGGAAAGUGAUAAUUUAUUUAAAUAAAACAGACUUUACCAAGGUGGUGGAAACAAUGCUAUACAGCCCUGACAAAUAAAUGUAUAAAUGACAUGCGAGAGUUAAACUGGUUUUGCUUACACCAUUGUGCAUAGAACUGCUUAUUUCCUUUUCUGAAGAAUGUUCUUUGUACGCUUAAUUGAACUAGUCUCUUUAAGUGUUCAAUGGUUCUCACCAACCAUUUGUCAAAGAAAUAAAGAAGUCUGUUAAUUUUAUUGGUUUGCCAUUCCAACAGGGGCUGGAUCCCCUUUAAAUUGUGCAUGCAACUUGUUAGCAAACCUCUUAUUUUGGUAGGCAGAGUUUAUCCGUGUUGUGACUUCAGAUAAUAACAAUGACUGAUUUGGUCAAUCUCUCAAAAAGUUUUCUGUAUUCCCGAGAGUAAUAAUCCUAAUCAUCAUUUUAGGUUAGUUGACAGAAUAUCUUUCUUGGUUAUUUCUUAGUUCAUAUGAACCAAACCUGCCUCAUUCCUCCCCUCAUGCGAGGUAGUUAAGUAGUGUAUGAGCCCUAGUACUGGUUUCAAGAUAUGACUUAUCACUGUGUAUAUGUCUGUAGUUAGUUUAGCUGAGAGUUCAAACAAGUGUUUAUGGUGUUAAACGUUUUUCAAUCAUAAAUUGUUUUGCAGAUAUAAUUGAUGAAUUGGUGAAGAAUGGGAAAGAGAUAAGGCUGUAUAUUUUGCUUCUGAAUCUGGUUUGACGAAAAGAUUUUCUCCUGUAUCUCUACUCAAGUCAUAUCUUAAGAAUUCCAAGAAGAUCACAACUACUGUCUUGAAGAAUGGCAAUUAUAGUGUAGCUGCAACGGUGUGUCUAAUCUCUAUCUACAUUGUGUAAUUCUAAUGACAUGAAAUAUUUGAGUCUUAUUAAUUUUUUUGCAGGAUGAGUCAAGUACCUUGGAGGGUGAAUUCUAUUAAAGCAAUCAUCAAAUGUGUGGAAGAUCAUAAGCUUGAAUCAGAAUUUUCCCUUGACAGCUUGAGAAAACGGGCUUCUCUGCUUGAAAAAAACAAAGCAGAGAGGAAGAGGGGUACGUCAGCUGCCACUGCUACCAAGUCUCAAAACAAGCGAGGCCAUGGUUCAGGUGGUGGCCGGGACAGUGGACCUACUCCUUAUCGACAAGCCAAAGCUGCCAAAUUUUCAAACAAUUAUUCCUCUUUCAGCCGCAGGAAUGCUCCUCUCCCUGCACAGCAUAGCCCGGCUAGAAGAUAUUCAGGGCCAUUCCACUACCCUAGCCAGAGUGUCUACGAGGGCCCCGCAGCAGCCCCGUAUGCAUCAACUUAUGGUAUCUCGCACGCUCAAAGCCCUUCUGCAAUCUCUCAACAACCCUACCAUCACUCUCAAAGCCCCAGUGCAAUUCCUCAACAACUCUACUCACAGCCAGCGGAGAACAUGAGUGCUGCCGGUUUCCGUGCCAGUGGUUCUUAUGGAAGCCAGACCGGUUACGGGGCAUAUGAUUACGGCUCUGCUGCACCCGUUACUUACCAACCUUCAUCCUACACUCAAUAAGAUGGGAGGAACCUAGCCAGGUGUUAAGAUUCUUAUUUUUAUUUGGUGUCUGAUUUCUGGAUGUGGCCCUCUAAUUUUGGGACCCGCCCCCUUCAUCUCCCUUUCCCGUAUAAAAGUUUUUUUUUGGUCUUAUCUCAUGACUGGAUAUGAUGCCCAUGCCUGUAACGCUGAUUACCUUUAUAUGGAGCUCAAGCUGGAUGUGAUUUCCGUGCUGUGAGUUUUAAAUGGUUUGGCUAUCGAGCAUUGUAUUCUUUCAACUUCUUUCCUUGAUUGGAGUCGCCAUUGGGUGCCUAUGCUUGUGUUUUUGCCAAAUUUUGGUUAAUCAAACCAAUUUCAUUUGCUGCUUGCACUUUUUUAAGAAGGAAGAAAUGAAUAACAAGGAACAUGUUAAUUAAUAGGACUAACUUGUUAAAAUCACAACAAUUUAGUAAUCAUGCUAAAAAUCCAAUUUAGUAAGAACAUGGCUAUAAUGGGUAACAAUUAUCUAGUCCUUGUAAUUGAUAGACAUCAUUCUUUUGGCCACUAGGUCUGAAAAUAACUCACAAACAUUCAGACCAAUGGAGAAACUUGUAUUAGAUGUUCUAUAAAAUGGUUAUUCAUCAUCUAAUUCUCUACAUAAACAAAUAACUACAUAUGGUAAUCAAUAACACCAUUUAGGCUUUCAUUGAUUAGCUCAAUCAAAACUAAAAUGAGCUCAAAUAAAGUUGACCAAGCACUUGUUUUUGUACUGUUUCUUAGGAGACAAGUCUUAUGAUAUCCUUUAAUAAUAAGCACUCUAAUAAGAAUAUUUGGAAGUAGUCAUAUUCUAAGUAUUACAUGUCCACAUAAUAAUAAUUUCAACAUAAUUUGGGUACACACUUCCAAGUGAUCAGUUAAUGUUUAAUUUUACGAUAAAAUAUUUCAUUUUAUUAGUUUAGAGCAAUUAAGGCUUUUGGAAAUAAAAUUAAAUCCUUAAAAACUUGUGAACACCUUUAAUUUUGUCCCAUUGAGGACUAGUUUCUAAUUUUAGUUGUAGUUAUUUUUUAUUUUAAUUUGGUUUUUCCAUAUAUUUUUUGAAAAUUGUCUUGAUAGUUUUUAUUCUUAGAUAUAAUGGUCCAUAAUAUGAAGACAAAGGUCUAGUGCUUGAUUGAUGUUCAAUUUUAUCAAAAUAUGUUUAAAUUGAGUUGACUUAAAGCAAUUAGGGUUUAAAGGACCAAAUUUGAUUAUGAAAUAAAUAUGAGAGACUAAAAUUAAUGAGUAUAGUUAAAAAGGUACAACAGCUUUGGCAGCAUAUGCAACCUUUUCUAGCGGCCAACCCACCCUUCCACGGUGGCGAUCGAUGUAUCUUAGAAUUCUUUUCUUGCAAGGGUAAUUAACACAUGUAUUCUUAUUCUUGGUGGUGUGUCGUUAGCGUUAUUUUUUUAUUUUAUUUUAUUUAUAUUUUUCCUCUCUUUUCUUUAAAAUUCAUGCUAGCCAUUUCAAAUUUCGUAGUUGUCUCCUUGUUUUAGUAUUAUUUCAAAUUCGAAUCUUUUUUUAUUACUAAGUUUUUGUUCUAGAUCUUUUUUUAAAAUGUAAAAUUGUUUUCAAUUUUCUCAUUCAAUAAAAAAUUACAAGUUGUCCUUUUUUUUAUUUUUAAAAUUUGGUCCAUAUUUUUUUAAUUCCUAUUUUUAGUUUUUGAUCCUAUAGUGAAAUUAAAUUUUCCUUUCAUUUUCAUCAUCUAAUUUGUUUUUAUUUCUAAUUCUAUUCUUAUUCUUUUGGUUGGCCUUGAUCUCUUUUUCUGUCCUUCUAGGGUGCUGUAAUCACCAUCAACAAAGUGGCCUUUUAAGGAAGAAGUGGCUCAAAUUGUUUAUAUAGUUGGGUUACAUUUUAAUAUAGUCAUGUAUUUGAAAAAGUAUUUAGUUAAUUAAUAUAUAUAUAUAUUACUAAAAAUUCUUUUAAAAUUUUAAUUAAAAUAUAAUAUAAUUUAUAACUUUUUUUAAAUGUAUUUUUUUAAAUCACAUAUCUAUCACAAAGAAAGAUCUUUUCAUAAAUCCCAACUUUCGCAAGAAUAUUAAUCAUGAGUCCUUACAUGUCCUCUUCCUUGUUGAAUUCUACGGCCUUCGAAUGUCAUGUCUAUGCCGAUUUACUCGGGUAUUUCUUUAUGCAUGCAUGCAAAAUAAUAUAAUAAUUAAUUAUUAGUUUAUAGAGGCUGAUAAAUAAAUAAAAUAUAUAGUUUAUUGAGUUUCCAAAACAAAACAAUCGCAUCUUGUGGUCAUCAACCAAAUCUAAUACUGUUUGGGAAAACACUGUUCAUGUAGAUUAAUAAGUACUAUUUAUUAAAACAAAGUAUUAAUGAUAGUUUUGCUUUUCUCGUAAAAGAAUUUGAACCAGUUAUUUAAGAUACUUUCACAAGUUUCAUUUAUUAUUAUCAAGUCAAAUUAAUAAGUGUUUUUGUAUUUUGAAAUCAUAGUAAAAUAAUUAAAAUAUGUUUACAUGUAAAAAAUUAUAAACUAAUGUCCAAGUGCUUUUUAGUAUUUUUACACUAGUUUUUUCAUUAUUAUUAGGUUAGUUGAAGGAAAAACUAGUAUUUUAAUAAAUAAAAAAUAUUAUUUAAAAACAAAAAACGACUAGCCUAUGUAAUGCUUGUGCAAGCAUAUAAGCGGCGCUAGCUACACUCAAGUGGCAUCUCUCAACGAUCAAACAUUAGUUUUUGCCAUGUCAUUGGAAGCACUGCAACAUACUCUUCCUUUAAGAACGACACAUGGUGUUAUUGGGGUGGCGGUGUGAUGUUGGUGACUUUUUUUUCUUCUCAUUCCACUUUACUCUUUCCUCCUCUUGAAAAUCGUGUUGGCCAUGCGAAAUUUCAAAGUUGUCAUCUAAUUUAUUGAGAUGUCAAAUUUAUUAUUUAUUAUUUUGAUUUAUUAUUUUUGUUUUUGGUUAUUUUGUGAAAUUUUGAGUUAUUUUUAAUUUUAUCUUUCAAUCUCAAUUUGUGAUAUAUUAUGUUUUUUUUCAAUUUAGUCUUCAUUCUUUUGAUAGUUUUAUUUUGAGUCCUUUUGUUAAAUUGAAUUUUCUUUUCAAUUUCACCCUUCAAUUAAAAAUAAAAUUUAUUUUUUUUAUUUUAAUUUUGAUCCUCAUUCCUUCAAUUACUAUUUUUUUUUUUCUAAAUAAUUGAUUUUUCUUUUUUUCAUUUUUAAAUUUUAUCAAAAACGCACGUGAUUAGUUGUUGUCAAACUAUCUAGUGCUAAGAAUUCGAAAGUCAAGUACCCUGCAAUAUGAAAGAACUCUGAAAACACACACCAGAGACAUGCAUGUUCUGCUUUAUAUUUAACCAAAGUCGUUACAAGAGAGAGGAGAAAGAGCUUAUCUAUUUGUUACAAGAGAUACAAAUUACAUGAGAUUUAAAUACCCUCCAGUUUGAACUGGAUGUGAUCCUAUUCUCCACCCAUAAAAAUUAUAAGGAAUUUAAUGGGAUUUGCAAGCAGGACAGACAUUACUGAAAAUCUAGAGUAACAAAGUACUUGCCAAUAAUAAAAAGAGGAUUGGAAUGUGAUGAUGGUUAUGAAAAAUCCAGUACGUUCUUGCACCGUGAUUGCCAGGAUGAAUGUAUAUGCUAAACCCAUGAAGGAAAGGCCACAUAUGAUACAAUAUGUCGCCAUGUCCAUGCUUAUUCUUACAUUACCGGUACGACCUAAUGAUAUCCGACAAAGGAUUAUAGCGGCGAUGAGGGAGAAAUUCAUAGCUAGCAUGUCAAAAAAAAUAUAAGCUCUCAUCAGAUAUUUUGAAGUACCACUGCUAAGAUCAGAACCUGAUCCAGGCACAGUGAUAGCACCAGCGAAGGUUACUCCAGCUACCAGUACUGCCACCACGAGAAGAUUCCCUACCCCUCUGUUCCGUUCCUCCGUCGUUAACGUCGUUCUUGGUGAAUCAAAGAUAAGAUUGAUGCCAAACUCAUUCUUAUCAUCUUCCUCCACCAAAACUUUUAAUACCUCACGCUGAACAACAAAAUGUUAAUUAGAAAAUAUAUGGUAAACAAAUUAAUUAUAUAAAGCAUCAUGACAAUGUUAUCUUAAUAUCCCAUAAUAACGAAGAAGUAACUCAUCGCAAUAUAUUUAGUAGAUCAGCGAGGCAUUCCAUAUUUUUGAGCAAGUAAAGAACUUUAUUUCCACUUUGGAUUAAUCAAAUUUUAGGUAAUUAAAAGAAAUCUAUCAUUCCCUUUUCUAUAAAGUUGCAACAUGGACAGAAUGUGGAUGUGAAAGUUUUUGCUAGACUAGAAUGUAUUUACUUCAAUCACCUGAUUAGCUUCUUACGUGGACGAAACCCUCUGGUAUUGAUGAAUAUAAAAGAAUUAAAUGUGACUGAGGUUUUGAAAAUUAAAAAAUCUUUUUAAAUGAGUAUUGAUUGUUCCUAUAUAUGCAAUUACUAGAAGCUGGUUGUGAGUAUAAUGCCAUUACUAGAAGCUUAUUGGCAUAUGGAAAAAACUAGAGAGUAUUUAUGCUUCUAGACCCAUGACUAAUCGUUUUCUUUUGAAGUUAGAUUUGUACUCUUGAGGAUGGAUGAAGGAAUGGGUAUACACAAGAGUUAAAAGGUUGACAACACAAGUAGUCAAUAUUAGAAAAAACAAAAUUGGGGAAAAAGAGCGAAACCUCAUUCUACAAGCCAUUGGUGCAAACAAUACUAGUUAAAAGGAUAACUUUAGGUUUAAUCUUACUAGAUAGAAUAAAAGGUUUUGAAAGGUAACGAGGCAUUGGUGAUGGAAGGUAAUCUAGGAAAUAAAAUUAUGAUUGUCAUGGGAGGAACAUGGCAUAAAGAGGUAGAUUUGGUAUAAAAAACUCUAUUUGAGAUUCUAGAUCUAGAGUGGAAUACAAUAUUAAUAUUUUUAUUGUCAUUGCAAAAUACUAGUUAAAAGGAUAACUUUAGGUUUAAAUGAUACAACUAUAAUUUUAUUGGAGAAUGAUAGGUUUUGAAAAUAGAAAACAAUGUCAAAAGGUAACGAGGCAUUGAUUAUGGGAGGUGGUCCUGUAAUUUACCAUGAAAGAUGGGAGCAAAGUGUUGAAUAUUAAACUCAAUCCAGAAGCUCCCAGAAGGUCAAGGAAGACAACCAGCCACCAGCCACCAGUCGCCGACCAGCCGCCAGCCGCCUUCACACUUGAAGGUUGAAUUUUCUAGUUUUUGAUUUCGUGUAUAAAUAGAGUGCCUAGCUUCUGUUAAUGUGUGUGGAGAGAAUUGAGAGCAACACUAGAAAGAGAAUAGAGAGAGAGAGGGCAUGUACUGUUAAGCUUUUGUUAAUUAAUUGUAAGCUUGUGUUUUUGUAACAAAACUUUGUGUUUUAUCCCCUCUGAGUGUUUCAAAGUCACCACCAGUGGUUUCUCCCAUGCACCAACAAUUAGUAUCAGAGCCCCGUUCGUCAGAAAACAGAAGUGUUUUGGGGUACAUCCGAAUUUUCAAAGUUGUCAAAAACAAGUUUUGAUCAUUCCACAGUGAAGAGCUCAUCAAUACGAACUCACUGUCGCAAGAAUCAGCCUUAUCGGAGUCCGCGGUGAUCCACACGCGCCGCCUGAAGAUCCGGUGACUGUAUCCCAUGCGCAUCCACGCGCGCCAUAUUUGAGCCGCGCCGAGCCCGAGCCGCGCCGCAAGCCGAGCCGUCCUCCGCACCGAGAGAAUAUUCCCCAAAAUAUUCCCUGAAUAUUCCUGGUUCAACCUAGCGAACCGCCCGCCGUACAUAAUUGGUUUUUUGACCGGUUCACCCAUUUUCUGACCCGAAUUCAACAAAGUCAGACCGGUUCCCUGCUAUUUGGAUCAUUCCAGAUCGAUCUACAAUGUCCGUUUGGCCAAAUUCGGCUCCUAGAAAGGUGAUAUAAUCAUUCAAAGAGCAAAAUGACUACAGAAGAUACACAUACACUCAUUCCAAAGCUGACCAAAGACAACUAUGAUAGUUGGUGCAUCAGAUUGAAGGCAUUCCUUGGGUCACAAGAGUGUUUGGAUAUUGUACAAACUGGUUAUGAUGAAUCAGAGUCCAAAGAAAGAGAAGAUGUUUUAUAAGAGGCACAAAAGCAAGCUCUUAAAGUCAACAGAAAGAAAGACAACAAAGCAAAGACCAUCAUCUAUCAGGGUCUUGAUGAAGACACAUUCGAGAUCAUAGCUUCCGCUGAAACAUCACAUGAUAUAUGGAGGCUCUCCAACAGAAAUACAAAGGUGCUGACAGAAUUAAAAAAAUUCGUCUUCAAUCUUUGCGAGGUGAAUUUGAGUUAUUGCAAAUGAAGUCCUCGGAGUCUAUUUCUGAUUAUCGCACAAGGAUUAUGGUGAUAGUCAACCAGAUGAGGAGAAAUGGAGAAGCCAUCGUCGAUUCUCGAAUUACUGAGAAAAUUUUGAGAUCGCUAGAUCCAAAAUUCGAUUUUGUUGUUGUCGCAAUUGAAGAAUCUAAAGAAGUGGACAAGUUGACAGUUGAUGAACUUAUGAGUUCUUUGCAAGCUCAUGAGCAGAAAAUUGUAAAGGGAAAUGGAGAUAAGGCAAUUGAGCAUGCCUUACAAGCAAAGCUGUCUCUCAAGGACAAAAUAUGAGCAAGGGGAGACUUCAACAAAUGGAUAUACCACUCAAGCAGGAAGUCAACAAUCCAGAGGAGGAUUCCAGAGAUUCCAAGGAAGAGGUUCUUGGAAUACAAGCUUUAGAGGAAGAGGUGGCAGAAACAUCAUUAGAGGAGAUCGAGGACAACAAGCAUUCAAUCCUAGAGGAAGAGGGGGCGAUUACAAUAACCAUGACAAGAGGAAUAUCCAAUGUUAUAGUUGCAAUCAAUUUGGGCACUAUAGCACUGAAUGCAGAAGGAAAGCUCUAUUGGAGAUACGUGAGCAAGCCAACUAUGCAGAGAAGGAUGACAGAGAAGAAGCUGCAUUUCUUGUCCAACAAGAACUUGGCGAGAAACAGGAAAAUACAUGGUAUCUAGAUACUGGAGUCAGCAAUCACAUGUGCGGCUACCGAGAGUUAUUUGGUGAUCUAGAUGAGACCAAGCAAGGUCUAGUUACUUUUGGAGAUACCACAAAGGUUCCAUUCAAAGGUAAAGGCAGCAUCCCAAUCAAGUUGAAGAACGGCGAUUCUAGCUACAUCACCAAUGUCUAUUAUGUUUCCAGCUAUAAAGCAGAACCUGAUCAGCUUAGAUCAACUUUUGAAGAGAGGAUAUACUUUUUACUCGAAGAAUUGUCAUCUGACAAUUAGAGACAACAAUUGGAGAUUAAUGGCCUACGUGAAAAUGUCCAAGAAUAAGAUAUUUCCUUUGAACAUCCAGUAUGAUGCAACAAGGUGUUUGAGUGCCAUCACCAACAGUGAAGAAUGACUUUGACGAGGCUUGGAUAUCUGAAUUUCACAAGUCUGAAGAUGCUAUCAAGCAAGAAGAUGGUCCAAGUUGCUAGAAUUGAUAAUGUUAAAAUUAAGAUAUAUGAUGAAGCAAUGAAAACCCUUUGUGAUGCUAGGACUUAGGCACAUGCAGACUUACAAGAAAGAAAGUUGGUGAAACUGAAAAUCUUACCAUUUUGAGAACUUUUACUUCCUGCGAUUUGUUCCAUACACCUCUCGCAGCAUCAUCCUCAUGCUUGGUAUCGAUUAACUUUUUCUGAGCAAGAACAAGCAAAGACAGUAUUAAUUUGUAAGUAUACAUUCGAAACUGAAUUUGAAUGUAUUUUCUUGCAUUCAGUUUUUGUAAUGUUAAAGGUUGUCCUUUUCAUUAUCAUUUUUUGCAAGUAUAUAUGAUGAUUGAUUUGGAGUAUGAUCCCCCGUGAUGUUCAAGAGCAAUUGCAAGCCCAUUAAUUAGCACCAUAAGGUCAGUUUUUCGAAAAGUCUCAGCAUACAAGCAUACCAUUCCAUCUGAAUUUGGUGCUUCAAAGCGUCCGCCUUGCAAUAAUUUCUCAACAACAGCAGAUGGUUUCAACUUUUCAUUAUUAACAAUCCUUUUAUCCACCCGCUUGUCACUCACUAGUGCCCGCACUAUCUCAGGACGGCCAUACAUUGCAGCCAAGUGCAAAGUGUAUUUCCAUCGUAAUCUUUCUCAUUUAUAAGUGCUUCCAGAUCUCGAUUUCCCAAUAUUUCAUCCACUAUUUUCAUCUGUCCACUCCCCGCUGCAACGUGAAGAAUAUUGUGUCCUUUUUUGUUGAGAAAAUCCGUUGGAUCGCGCCAAUUAGUAAGUAGUUCGCGUAUUACUUCAAGAUGGCCCUUCUGGCAUGCAACAUGGAUGGGUAAGUUGCCUUCUUCGUUUCUUUGUGAUGCGGCAACAGGACAUCGACUAACCAGGAGUCUUGCUACAGAAAGGAAGCCCAUGGAUGCUGCAUCAUGCAGAGGGGUGUUUCCAUCGUAAUCUUUCUCAUUUAUAAGAGCUUCCAGAUCUCGAUUUCUCAAUAUUUCAUCCACUAUUUUCAUCUGUCCACUUUCCACUGCAACCUGAAGAAUAUUCUGUCCUUUUUCGUUGAGAAAAUCCAUUGGAUCGAGCCAAAAAAUAAGUAGUUCGCGUACUACUUCAAGAUGGCCCUUCUGGCAUGCAACAUGGAUGGGUAAGUUGCCUUCGUCGUUUCUUUGUGAUGCGGCAACAGGACAUCGACUAACCAGGCGUCUUGCUCCAGAAAGGAAGCCCAUUGAUGCUGCAAGAUGAAGGAGAUUUCCCCCUUUUAUGUCCUCGGGAAGCAUUAUAUCCGGCUUGCCGACCGCUAGUUUUUCUAGUGCAGCAUAAUUUUAAAAUUAGAUAAUCAAUACAAAAAACACAAAAUGCAUGGAAAUAACUUGAAUUUUAUGCUAUACAUGAAAUGAAAUUAUGAAGAAUCAGUUUUAAUGAGACCAAUAAUUAUAAGUGUAACAUGUUAUUUUUCACGUCGAAAUGAUGAAAACAUGUAAUUACCUAAAUUUCUUUCCGUCAUAGCUUCUAUAAAAGAAGCAAUCAUGUCCUCAUCGCAACUCUCUACUGCCAAGUACAAGGGAGACUUGUCUUCCUUGUUCUUGUGGUAGGAAACUUCUAGGUCUUCAUAAAGGAGGAAACAGGCCACCUCUUGGCAACCCUUGAUGACUGCAUCAUGCAAAGGGGUGUUUCCUUUAUUAUUCUUCAUCCUCAGCAAGCUAGCAAGUUCAAGUGUUUUAUGAGGAUCAAUUUUCACAUGGUUGACGAGAUUUUGAAUCGUGUCAAACCGUCGAGCCCUGGCAGCCAGAUGUAGCGCAUUAUCACCCAGGAAAUUUUUCCUGGUGAUUAGGAGGAGGAAGUGAUGACACAGUAGGUGUGUCACAUCUUCGCUUCCAUGGCUUGCUGCCACAUGAAGCAGUGAAUUUCCAGAGGCAGCAACAUGUUUGAAAAUGAUAUGGAGCACUUCCUCUGAUGAAACAUGUUCCAGUUUAUCGGACAAGAGACCAAACAAGGCAUUGAAGUUGUCUUCCUUUGCAUAGGUAUAAACCUCCUUCUCCAGUAUUUUAUUUGGCUCAGAAAAACCAUAAUCUGCAAUCGGAACUGGGAAUUUAACUGCCUUCCAUCGUUCAAGCUCCUCAUGUAUUUGCAUAGAGAGUUGCAACGUGCUGGAAGAUUGUAUAAUGUCGGUUGAGUGCUCCAUCUCUUCUUGAGUGACUUAACUUUGCUGCGGUUGUAUCAGUGGUAAAUUGGUAAUUACAUGUAUUGUUAUUUGGCCAAGCAAACUAAAGAAUUCAUUGAAAACAUGAAUGCAAGGGAUAAGCUAAUUAAAGUAUUAGUGAGAGAAAACGUACAUUAGCUACAUAAUUUUUCUCAAUACAAUUAUUUAGGAGCAUAUAUAUAAAUGUUUAAAUUCAAGUAAAAAUCAAGUUGUUAAUUCUUAUUGAUCGGUUAUGUUCGAAAAUAUGGUUGAUGAUUAUUUUUUAAAAUGUUUUUUACUUGAAAAAUAAUGUUUUUUUAUUUAAAAAAAAAUUAUUUUUGAUAUCAUUAUAUUAAAAUUAUCUUAAAAUACUAACAAAAAAUAUUAAUUUAAAAAAAUUAAUUGUUUUCAAAAAUAUUUUUAAAUAAUAAAAUAACAGGUCAAAUUCCAAUUAAGGCAUUCUUUUAUAACCAGGUCCAACAAUAACUAAGGGUUUGUGUAUUGUAUUUACAAAUAAAAUAAUGUUUUAUGACUUUUAAUAUAUUUUCUAACAGUAUUAUAUAAAUUAAUAAAUUAUAUACAUAAAUAUAUCAAGUUAAUAUAAAUUUUAUUAGCGCAAACAACUGAUGCAAGUUUGUUAAGAAUUUGAAUAGACAAGUAUUGUGCGUGUACAGUGAUGAGUUAAUUAAAAUCCAAAGUGCACAGUGUUAAGUGAUUGAAAUUGUAAGACCGGGGAAGAGAAGAGACUUACCUGGUAGUUCUGGAGAUGAGGACGUGAUGGAGGACUGGUCGACUAGUUAUUGUCUUCCUCUGCUUUCACCUCUGUUUAUAAAGAGUUGUUAUAAACUGUGAAUGUUAUUGACUGCAUCGCGAAUUACGGUAGAAAUGUUUUUCUCGUGUUUUGGGUUUGAUAAUUGCUAAAAGCACUCUAGUUAGGGAGACAUAAAGAUUGGGGCUAGUCUUGCCACCGAAAGUUGUAAAGAAUACAGCUGGCGGAGUUGUCUUUUUAUAUAGAUAGAAAAUGACCAGUUUGAAUUUUGGUGAAGUAGGACGACCAGGCUGCAGAUAUCUACUGCUCGGCACGAUCCAGAUAAGAAACAGCUGGCGUAAGGGCCAGUCAGCAAGCUCAUUAGUACCGGACUACUAACACUUUUCGUGAACGGCGGAGCUAAACUGUUACUAAUCCUGGUUGUAAAGCUAAGUUAGAGCUUGAAAAUUCUUACUUGAUCGUGAUGGUUUUGCACUCUUGUGAUUUUUUAUUUAAAUUUCUUUUUAAAAUCUAAGCUAAAACCCGAUGUUGCUGAGAAGAGAUAAUAAAAAUCCCAUGGUGCUUCUCUAGUAUUAAUAAAGAUAAAAUAGUGGAUCUUAAUAAAUGAUAGAAGAAAAAAAUAUUUUUAAAGAGUAGGUUUUACAAAAAAAACAAAAGGGAAAAUCUUUAUUUCUUACUUUAGUAGAUAUAUUUGUAGGAGACAGCGCCCUCUCCUGGGGUUCGGGGCGGAGCCCCGUUUUUUUUUUUUUUUAUAGAGCUCCAAAUAAAAUUUAGUUAAAAUAAUAAAAACACAACUAAAAUUAACCUUGCAAAAAUAUAUAGGACUUAACGACAGUAUGAUUCUCACAGAAAAGGAACAAACAAAUAAAAGCUCUUAGCAUUAGUUGCACUUGCAAUCUUAAACCAAAGAUCAGCACACUCCUUUCCAAUUGGACCGGUAAUUGCUGAGCCUUCAUUUUUCCUUUGGGGUUCACAAUGACACUAGUAUUAUCUUCAAAAUACAUGAAAUAUCAAGUAGGGGGGUUUAACUAAUUCAACUAAUAUAUAAAUAUCAAGUAGGGGGGGUUUAACUACACAUAUAAAAAAUAAUAUUUUCAAUCUUUUCCUUUUUCAUUCUAUAUUUGUCUUGACUUUUGACAUGUGAACACUGAACACUUUAUCGAGGGAUAAAAGUAUUUCUUUUGUAUAAAAGGGAUGUGCAUUUUUUCCACAUGCUUUUGCAUAAAGGGACCUGCUUUUCUUUUAUCUACUUGGUUUCAUGUAUUUUCCGGGCUAUUUUGGUUUUUUUACGAGUUGGUGGAAAUCUUGUUGGCUAGUAUCAUUAUUUUACACUUGGACAUGGCUGGAAUUCUUGCCAUUUAGACUAAUCAAUUUAUCAUUCAUCUUUUUCACUUUGUUGUUGUUGAUAUCAGCUUGCUCUUCACAAGAAACAAAAUUGGAUUAUUGGUUUUUUUUUAAUUUUUUUCCUUAAUUAACCGAAUCCAAAUAAGUUGCCUUGAACUGGCGGUUUGGUUUUAUUUUUAAAUUAAAAAUAAAUAAAAAUUCAGUUUGGUUGGUUUUUUAAGUAAAAAUUAAACUGAAAAUGCUCACCUCUACAUGUAGUUCUGGAGAUGAAUAUGUGAUGGAGGACUGGUCGACUAGUUACUUGCUUCCUCUGCUCUCACCUGUGUUCUUGCUUUUCUCUGAUCGGUUUCUUCCUGUCCGUCCCGUGUUCUGCGUGUGUUUCGUUCUCCUGUGGCCUUCUGUUUUUGCUCGUCUUCUCUGUAUUAUCUCUGUUCUUGCGUCUGUGUUUUUGUUUGUGGUCUUUGGUCCAGUGUUCUCUGUGUAUUAUCUGCGUCUCCUCUCUGUCCGGUCGUCUUUGUUUUUCCUGGGUUUUUUUCGUUCGUUCGUCCUCUUCGUCCUUCCCCUUCCUCCUGGAGGCCUUUCUUCCUCUGGCUUUAUAGCCAGAGAAUGCCAUACGUUUCAGUAACGUAUUGCAUCGUGGGCAGCUGAGGCGUUGAGGCGUUGAGGAAGAUGAACAGCUCGUCUGGAAACGGCGCCGUUGAUUUUCUGUCGGUUUGGUCACUGAAGUGUGGAGAUUUCACAAUCAAGCCCCUUAAUCAGGAAAUUCCUUCCACUUGUUUUUUAAUUUCGCCCCCUGGAUAAAUUGUAAUUAAACCUCUGGAUUUUAGCAUCUUUUACUAAACAGUCCUUAGUUUCUGAAUGUUUCAAUUCAGUCCUUAAUUAAUUUUUCAACUUUUAAUUAUUUCAAAAUUAUCCCUGGAAAAAUCAAUUAAGCUCCCUAGAGUAACCCCUGCAUUUUCACUUUGAUCCUUGGACUUUAAUUCCUUACAAUUUGAACCCAAAUCAGCCCCCAAACUUUGGUAUUUUUUCAAUUUAGUAUUCACUCUUUUAAUAGUUUUAUUUUUUGAGUUUUUUUUGUUAAAUUGAAUUUUGUUUUCAAUUUUACCUUUCAAUAAAAAAAUAUUUUUUAUUUUAAUUUAAUUUUCAUGUUUUCAAUUGCUAUUUUUUUUUUAACUUUUAACAUUUUAUUGGUGGGGAAUUAUACUAUUUGUUUUUUAUUCAAUCUCAUGCUUUUAUAUUCAAUGAGUCGAGAAUUGAGUCACAUCAUUUAUUUAUUUUUAAAAUAAAAAUUUUUUCAAGUUAUUAUAAUUUUUUUUUAAUUUGUUUUAUAUGCUUAAGCUCAUUAUUUAUUUAUUUUUUCUCUGGUUUCAAUCUUCCAUAUUAGGUUUGCUCGGAACCAAGCUCUUAUACCUUUUUUUUUCCUUUUUUUGUUGAUGUUUAUUAUAAGUUAUCAUUUAAACUUUUUUUUAUUUGAUUCAAUCUAUAAUCUAUUUACCGUUGUUUUUUUUUAUCAUUUAAUUAAAUGUUAUCAGCUUAUCUGACUUUGUCACAAAGAUUUUUAACUUUUUUAGAGCACAAUUGCAAUAUUUGAACAAUUUUAUUAGCUAAUAUUUUUUUUUUCAUUUAACUUGUUGCAUAGCGUUGGGCUAUGGAUUUAGUAAUCACUACCACUUGUUUAAUUAGGAUCAGUGAAAGCUAAUUUUUAGUCAUCACUUCUUGUUUCUUUUUUUAUUGUUUAAUAAAAGUAGUUCAUUCCUUGAAUUAUAACGAAACUAUUUUAUAAUUAUGCAAAAAAAUUUUUUUCCUUUUUCUUGUUAUAUCGUAAUUACGAUAUUUAAUCUAUUUUUGUGUAACAUUGUUAAGCCAUUAUUUGUUAAUUAUUUUUUUUAACUUCAACCAUUAUUGUUUUUUCCCCUAGCAUUUUAGAAAACACCCUAGAGAUCGGAAAAACAAAAAGAGUAUGUUAUAUUAACAGCUCCAUGCCCGUGUAAUGCUUGUGCUAGCAGAUAGGUGGCGCUAGCUCCAUUUGGGUGGUAUUUUUUAGCGACCUAACACUAGUUUUUAUUGUGUCAUUAGAAGUACUGCAGUAUACUUUUUUUUUAAGGACGACACGUGGUAUUAUUGAGGUAGCGGUGGGAUGUUGAUUUACUUUUUUUCUCAUCCUAGUUUACUUUUUUUUUUUUUUGAAAAUCAUGUUGAUCAUGUGAAAUUUCAAAGUUAUUUUCUAAUUCAUUGAGAUGUCAAAUUUAUUAUUUAUUUUUGAUCUUGGUCAUUUUGUGAAAUUUUGAGUUAUUUUUAAUUUUAUCCUUCAAUCUUAAUUUGUUAUAUAUUAUAUUUUUUUAAUUUAAUCGUCAUUCUUUUGAUAGUUUUAUUUUUUGAAUUCUUUUAUUAAAUUGAAUUUUCUUUUCAAUUUUACCCUUCAAUCAAAAAUAAAAUUUAUUUUUAAUUUUAAUUUUGAUUCUCAUUUCUUCAAUUAUUAUUAUUUUUUAUCUUUCUGUAUAAUUGAUUUUUCUUUUUUUCUUUUUUAAAUUUUAACAUUUUAAUUAGUUGAGAAUUAUAUUAUUUUUUUAUUUUAUAUUUAAUGGGUUGGGAAUUGAUUCACAUCAUUUAUCGUCUUUUGAAAUAAUAUUUUUUUCAAGUUAUCAUGAUCAUUUUUUCUUAAUUUGUUCUAUAUACUCUAGCUCAUUGUUUAUUUUUAUUAUUAUUUAAUUAAAAUAAAACAAAUCUAUUUAUAGUCUAGUCUAUAACUGGUCUAUCAUUCAUUUUUCUCUAUGCUUUAGAACAUUAUGUUUUAUAUGAAAGAAAAGGAAUCCAACCCCGCAUCAUAGCUCAGGUCCACGACUAGUACAUACUAUAUUUAUCAAAAACGCACGCGAUUAGUUGUUGUCAAACUAUUUAGUGCUAAGAAUUCGAAAGUCAAGUACCCUGCAACAUGGAAGAACUCUGAAGAGACACACCAGUGACAUGUAUGUUCUGCUCUAUAUAUAACCAAAGUCGUUACAAGAGAGAAGAGAAAGAGCUUAAUAUCUAUUUGUUACAAGAGAUACAAAUUAGAAAAGAAGACAAAAUACUGAUUUUGCAUUUGAAACUAUCAAUCUAAAGGAAAAAAAAUAUUGGAUAAGAACAAAACAGACUUGGGAUGUGAUGAUGACUAUGAAAGAUCUAGUGUCUUCUUGCCGCGUCAUUGCCAGGAUGAAUGUAAAUGCUAAACCCAUGCAGAGAAGGGAGUAAAAAUUAAGAGAUGUCGCCUUCUCCAUGCUUGAUGUUACAUCACUGGCACGACCUAAUGAUAUCUGACAAAGGAUUAUAGCGGCGAUGAGGGAGCAAUUCAUAGCUAGCAUGUCAAAACAAAUAUAUAAACUCAUCAUAUUUUUUGACCAAUCACUGCUAAGAUCAGAACCUGAUCCAGGCACAGUGAUAGCACCAGCGAAGGUUACUCCAGCUACCAGUACUGCCACCACGAGAAGAUUCCCUACCCCUCUGUUCAGUUCCUCCGUCGUUAACGUCGUUCUUGGUAAAUCACACUCAGUCUUAUCAUCUGCCUCCACCAAAACUUUAAAUACCUUACGCUGAACAACAAAGUGUUAAUUAGAAAAUAUAUGGAUUUAAUUGGAGAAUUGAUAAGUUUUGAGACUUAAUUAAACUUGUAAUUAAUUUAAUUAAUCCAAUAAGGGGCUUAAUUGGAAAAGCGAUAAGUGUUAGACUUAAUUGGACUUUGGAUUUAAUGAAAUUAGGGACGUAAUUGAAGAAAUAGCAAAGUUUGGGGUUAAUUGGGGGCACGAUUGAAACAGAGUAAAGUCCAAGAACUAACUGGUAAAAGGCGCCGAAAUGUCUGGGAAAUUACAGUUUAAACCAGGGGUUUAAUUACAAGACUCGAAACUGCACAGGUCAAAAUGUAAAAUGGCCACAUUUCACAUCUCAAGACGGCGCCGUUUUAAGAGACACUGUUCGUCUUCUUCAAAACUAGAAACGAACACUGCACGAUCCUUAGUCCCUCAUUAUUUCUGCAAACGGUCGGUCACCUCAUUAUUUAGGGGUGACCGCAUGGCAUUCUCUGGCUAUAUAAAAGCUAGAGAUAGGUCAUGCACGGGGGGGGGGUGAAACAAAAAAAGACGGGACGAAGAGAGACAGAACCAGGGGAAAAUUUUGGCCCCUCAACCAGUAGCAAAUCCUCGUGCUUUUACCACUAUUGUCUUCGUCUUGAACGCAGAAGACUGGGCAGAGACACAAAAAAGGAAGAGAAACUGAGGAGAACAGGAAAAGGACAGGGAAACGAACAAGAUAGAGGAGAGCAAAUUUUCUGCCCCUGUUUCUUCUCAAAGGAACAGAGGCUGUCCUCUGGCUUUAUAAAAGCCAGAGAAGGCCACGGAGGAAAAAGGGGAUCACUGCCUUCUCCAUCUCCAACACUAGAGAUGGAAGACGGAGAGAAAAACAAAGAGACGAUAAAGGGAGAGGACGAACAAAAAAACACAGGGAGGAACAGAGACCGGAGAGGAAAAACAAAGAAAUCACAGAAGGGAGAUUAAAGAGAAAACAGAGGUAAAUAACGAACAAACACUAAGGGGCUGACUGAAGCAAGCUUCAACGGGGAGAGGAAUGAAAAAACAAUGAGGGGCUGACUGAAGAAAGCCUCAACAGGAGAUUGAACACGAAGAAAAGUCAGGGGAAGGAGAGUACUAGACAGAGAAAUAAAAAACAGAUACAGAGAGAGAGAGAGAGGGAGAGAAUCCUGAGAGCAGAAGAAAGCAAGAGAAAAAGCAAAAGAAGGGAAAUAAAUUUUUUAUAUGUUUUCUUUUAUUCUAUAGGUUUUGACAAUUUAAAAAAUCUUUUUAAAUGAGUAUUGAUUGUUCCUAUAUUUGCAAUUAGUAGAAGCUUGAUGCUUGAUUCUUCUUUAUCUCUCUAUACGACCCAUGACCAAUCGUUUUCUUUUGAAGUUAGAUUUGUACUCUUGAGGAUGAAUGAAGGAAUGGGUAUACACAAGAGUUAAAAGGUUGACAACACAAGUAGUCAAUAUUAGAAAAAAAAUUGAGGAUAAAGAGCGAAACCUCAUUCUACAAGCCAUUGGUGCAAACAAUACUAGUUAAAAGGAUAACUUUAGGUUUAAUCUUACUGGAUAGAAUAAAAGGUUUUGAAAGGUAACGAGGCAUUGGUGAUCGAUGGAAGGUAAUCUAGGAAAUAAAAUUAUGAUUGUCAUGGGAGGAACAUGGCAUAAGGAGGUAGAUUUGGUAUAAAUAACUCUAUUUGAGAUUCUAGAUCUAGAGUGGAAUACAAUGAUAAGAAAUAUUUUUAUUGUCAUUGCAAAUGUCAUAUAUAAUCCAAUUUUUGAUCAUUUUAUUGCAUAGAGAGUCACUCAAGAAGAGAGUGGAAUAUUUUUAUUGCCAAUAUUGCAAAGGCCAUGUUUGGCAUCAUUGUGACAAGAUGAAAGCCGCCUUAGAAGAAUUACGAAGUCUAGAGAUGUUACGAAUACGAUGAAAUAUGGGAGCAAAGAUGAUGAUAUUCUCAUGGAUCAUAAAUGUAAUAAGGUUUUGAAAAAUUCAUGGAUUGUAGAUUUUGCAUGCUCCUUUCAUAUUUAUUUAAAGAAAGAAUGUUUUGAUCCUUACAAAGAAUAUGAUGGAGCAAUGAAAACCCUUUGUGAUGUUAGUCACAUGCCAAGACUUCAAAGAAAGAAAGAAAGUUUCUGAAACCGAAAAUCUUACCAUUUUGCGAACUUCUGCUUCCUGCGAUUUGUUCCAUACACCUCUCGCAGCAUCAUCCCCAUGCUUGGUAUCGAUUCGCUUGCUCUGAUCAAGGACAAGCAAAGACAGUAUUAAUUUGUAAGUAUACAUUCGAAACUGAAAUCAGUUUUUGUAAUGUUAAAGGUUGUCCUUUUCAUUAUCAUUUUUUGCAAGUAUAUAUGAUGAUUGAUUUGGAGUAUGAUCCCCCGUGAUGUUCAAGAGCAAUUGCAAGCCCAUUAAUUGGCACCAUAAGGUCAGUUUUUCGAAAAGGCUCAGCAUAUAAGCAUACCAUUCCAUCUGACUUUGGUGCAUCAAAGCGUCCGCCUCGCAAUAAUUUCGCAAAAACACCAGAUGGUUUCAACUUUUCAUUAUUAACAAUCCUUUUAUCCACCCGCAUGUCACUCGCUAGUGCCUGCACUAUCUCAGAACGGCAAUACAUUGCAGCCAAGUGCAAAGGUGUAUUUCCAUCGUAAUCCUUCUCAUUUAUAAGUGCUUCCAGAUCUCGAUUUCCCAAUAUUUCAUCCACUAUUCUCAUCUGUCCACUCUUCGCUGCAACGUGAAGAAUAUUCUGUCCUUUUUCGUUGAGAAAAUCCAUUGGAUCGAACCAAUAAGUAAGUAGUUCGCGUACUACUUCAAGAUGCCCCUUCUGGCAUGCAUCAUGGAUGGGUAAGUUGCCUUCUUCGUUGCUUUGUGAAGCGGCAACAGGACAUCGACUAACCAGGAGUCUUGCUCCAGAAAGGAAGCCCAUGGAUGCUGCAAGAUGAAGGAGAUUUCCCCCUUUUAUGUCCUCGGGAAGCAUUAUAUCCGGCUUGCCGACCGCUAGUUUUUCUAGUGCAGCAUAAUUUAAAAAUGAGAUAAUCAAUACAAAAAACACAAAAUGCAUGGAAAUAACUUGAAUUUUAUGCUUUACAUAAAAUGAAAUCAUGAAGAAUCAGUUUUAAUGAGACCAAUAAUUAUAAGAGUAACAUGUUAUUUUUCACUUCGAAAUGAUGAAAACAUGUCAUUACCUAAAUUUCCUUCCGGCAUAGCUUCUAUAAAAGAAGCAAGCAUCUCCCCGUCGCAACUCUCUACUGCCAAGUACAAGGGAGACUUGUCUUCCUUGUUCUUGUGGUAGGAAACUUCUAGGUCUUCAUUAACGAGGAAACAGGCCACCUCUCGGCAACCCUUGAUGACUGCAUCAUGCAAUGGGGUGUUUCCUUUAUUAUUCUUCAUCCUCAGCAAGCUAGCAAGUUCAAGUGUUCUAUGAUGAAUUUUCACAUGCUCGACGAGAUUUUGAAUUUUGUCAAACCGUACAGCCCUGGCAGCCAGAUGAAGCGCAUUAUCACCCAGGAAAUUUUUCCUGGUGAUUAGGAGGGGGAAGUGAUGACACAGUAGCUGUAUCACACCUUCGCUUCCAUGGCUUGCUGCCACAUGAAGCAGUGAAUUUCCAGAGGCAGCAACAUGUUUGAAAAUGAUACUGAGCACUUCCAGUUCAUUGGACAAGAGAUGAAACAAGGCAUUGAAGUUGUCUUCCUUUGCAUAGAUAUAAAACUCCCUCUGCAGUAUUUUAUUUGGCUCAGAAAAACCAUACUCUGCAAUCGGAACUGGGAAUUUAACUGCCUUCCAUCGUUCAAGCUCCUCAUUUACUGGUCUCGGCAUAUCUAUUUGUAAUUGCAUAGAGGGUUGCAACGUGCUGGGAGAUUGUAUAAUGUCGGUUGAGUGCUCGAUCUCUUCUUGAGUGACUUGACUUUGCUGCGGUUGUAUCAGUGGUAAAUUGGUAAUUACAUGUCUUGUUAUUUGGCCAAGCAAACUAAAGAAUUCAUAGAAAACAUGAAUGCAAGAAAUAUGCUAAUUAAAGUAUUAGUGAGAGAAAACGUACAUUAGCUACAUAAUUUCUCGAAAUACAAUUAUUUAGGAGCAUAAUGUCAAAAUUAAACUGUUAACGCGUUGUCGAUUUUUUCAAGUAAAAGUUUUUUUUAUAUAUUUACAUCCAAAAAUAACUACGGGUUUGUGUAUUGUAUUUAUAAAUAAAAUAAUAUUUUACGACUUUUAAUAUAUUUUCUAAUAGUAUUAUAUAAAUUAAUAAACUAUAUGCACAAAUAUAUCAAAUUAAUAUAAUUGUUUUUAGCCGCAAACAACUGAUGCCAGUUUGUUAAGAAGAAUUUGAAUAGAAUCUUAAGAAAUAAUUCUCAUAAUAUAUGAAGGAGAAAAUAAUACAUAGAUAAAAGUCAAUUCUCUCCAUAAUAAAGAUCAUUCUCAAAAUGCACACUCCAAACACACUAAAGCAAAAUGAAAGGUUUAAUCAUCAUACAAUCCUGACAUAAAAAAAGAAGUCAGACCAAUCCCUCGUAUCCAUACACUCUAAAUUUUGUGCCAAUAACAAAAAAACUAAAUGCAAAAUCUAUAAAUAGUUUUUUUUUUAAAAAAAAAACAGUGAAUAUCUUCUCUUUUGAAGAAUGAGAGAUAGAGUGUACAGUGUAGGAAAAAUUAUAAUUAACCUAAAUACAGGGAUCAUACCUCCUUUCUCUUGUUUACGAAGACGUUUCGGGUAUUUUUCAUGCACUUUCGAUGAAUUGCAAAAAAAAAAAAAACCCAAACAAAUUUAAACUGAAAUAUUGACACCAAAAAAGAAAAAAAAAAACACCGAACCAUUACACUAAUCAUGAGAUUCCAUGUUAAAAUGAAAAGGAAAUAAUAUAUAAGAAAAUCAAUUCUGAAGGAGAACCAUGUAAAUGUGUACCUGUAUAUUAGUGUAAACUGAGAGAGAAGGAGCGUGAAGGGAGAUGACGAAGAAGACCAGUUUCCUGCAUGCAGAAGUACUUUCCCUGCCAAUAAUUAGACAAAAUUAAGAGACUUGUGCAUACUGAGAGGUUUUUUAAGCUCUAAGAAACAAACUCCUUAGGUAAUAAGGUUUCUAAAAGAAAAAAAAAAGGUUUCUUUGCUUUUCACUUUUCUAUUUAAAAGAGAGUGUGCUGAACGAGCAACACGUUGGCAUCCAUUUCAAGCUUUAAAAUUAGAAAAUGUGAUUUUAGAUAUAUAUUUUUUUAAAAAUAUAUUUUUUAUUUAGAAAUAUAUUAAAAUAAUUUUUUUAUUUUUUAAAAUCAAUUUUUAUAUUAACGCAUCAAAAUCAUCUUAAAACACAAAAAAAAUAUUAAUUUAAAAUAAAAAAAUUUUAAUAUUUUUUUUAAAAUAUUUUUAAAACAUAAAAACAAAUAUUAUUGACUGAACUCAAAUUCUUUUGGAUGCAUAUAGUACUUUUUUCUUUCAGAAUCUUUUCUUUUCUAUUUAAAAGAGAUUGUGAUGAACGAGCAACACAGUGACAUCUAAGAUGAAGUGACCAGGUUGUUUUAAUAAUCCUUUUAUAAUAUCAAGCUUUAAAUUUGACAAAUUUAUAAAUUAGGUUCCUCUUAUCAUUAAUCCGAAUUCCUAAUAAUUUUUAUUCAAAUUUGACCACAUCUUUUGUUCAUUGUAGCAUUAAGCUUUGUUGAACAUCAAUUACUAAUCAUACCUGAAUUUAAGCCAUUCAAAUAGCUACCAUCGCCGCCCUGCGGUCACCAAAUCAAACGUACAUCAUACCUCUAUUUUCUAUGCUUUUAUUCAGUUUUGUAAUUGCUUGCUUCCAGUUCUUGUGCUUAGAUACUCGGUUUGCUGAUUAAGUUACAUAUUCCCUGAUCUUUUGUUUGCGGAUUCGAUUUUUAUCCCACUUAUUUUUAUUUUUCCAAUGAAAACUUUCAAUCAACAAGUUUCUCAUCAGAUAUUUGUGUUUCAUCGGUCAUUUCAUCAUAAACUUUGUUUUUUUUUUUUUUUUUUAUGGAAUGACCAAUAAAAAUAUUCAUGCUAAAAAAUUAGAUUUUAUCACCCAUUUGUCAUCGGGAAGUCCGUCCAAGAAAAGGAGCAAAUAUUACCGCUGAAAUCAUGGAUAAAAAUACACUUUAAUUUCCAAUGGAAAUUCCUUCAUCAAUUCCAUUGGAAAUACCUAAACUUUAUGUAAAUUUCGAUGAAAUGUGAGUAAAUAUUGCCGACAAAAAUGCAAUUUUUUUGGUGAUUCUGUUUGUGUUCCAUACUUUUUUUAUGUUGUUUAGUUUUUAUAAUCCCAAAUGCAUUUUUUAUUAACACUAAACUCAUAACAACAACAAUAAAAUUAAAAAUAUUAUAACAAAAUUCCAUACAUAAAAAUUUUGUAAAUAACAUAUUAAAAUUUUUAAAAAGUUGGAGGAGGUGAAAAAAAUCAUGAUCUAUAAGCUCCAUGAGAGGGAGGAAAAUGUAAAGCCAAAUACGCACGUAUUUGCUCUCAUUUUCUAUUAUUUCUUGUUUGAUUUUUGCUUUUAUUUCUUCUAUUAGUUCUGUCAUUAUUUAUGCUCUUAUAUUAUGCAACUCAAUAGCCAAUUGUUAUGGAAUCCUAUCUCAAACCAUCUCCUUAAUGGUCAAUGAUGUCUGGUUGAAAUUGGAAUAUUUUGUGCCUACCAUUGAAACACUACGACUCACCCUUGUAUCUUGGUCAAUGCUAUAGACAUACCACAAACUAAAUUCUUAUCAAGUCUAUUAAUUGCUCUAUCCUUCAACCACAAAUAAGAAUCGUUAGGAGGAUGGUUGUAAUUGUGUUUUUCAUGUUUAACAGCCAUGUUGGCAUUAUAUAUAUUUGUCAAAACAAAACAAAAGGUCAAAAUCCAAUUAAACUUAAAAAAAAUAGUAAUACAAUUAUAACUAUCCAAAAAUACUUACAAUGAACUCUUUCACUGUUUCACUAUAUUAUUGAUAAACCUUUUUAUCUUUUUUGCUUAUCCUCUUUUUUUAUAUGAGUUUCCUAAUAUAACUUCAUUGGAGUAUGUUCGCACCAAAACUGUUUUUCCUAUACAAUAAAUAGUUUGUAAAAAAGUCUCAUAAAUAAAAAAUAAAUUAAUAAUUAAAUAAACAAUAAUUAAAUAUAUAGCAAUGCUCUUAUUAGGCUAUUUGCAUGGUUCACCAAGGAAAGUGCUCCUCAAGUGUGCAUGCUCAUCAAACCAUGAAUUUUCUUUUUUCCUAUUGUUUUGAGACCUAGAUUUUGAGCACUUUUUAAAACCAUAUGAUGCCAAAACUUCUUGAAACUUAGCCCAAUUACUCUUUGUGACGUGUCUCGAUCUAAAAUUUUUCCACAAUACUAUGUCAUCAAAGUUGGCUCUGUUCAUUGAAUAUCUAGAAACAUCAUGCCACAAAUCACGCAACCUAGUAUAGUAAUUUAAUAAACAAAAUUAAGAUAAGGAAAUGAAAUAUUAUAGUUUUACAAUAAUAUAAUUGUUUUUUGCAUUAUACUUACCUAAUUACAAUGUGGUUUUCCCACACAUUUCUUACAACCCCCUCAUUUUCCUUGUCCUGGUAAUUUUUUUUCCUUGUAGUCAAACAUUAGUUAUUUUUAAAAAAUUUUAAAAACUAUAUAUUAACUCAAUGUAUAUAUUAUUUAUUUAACCAUUAACUUUUCCCAAAAACAUCUACUAUAAUCAUACAUUUAGAAUGAUCUUAAAGUUGACUCUAUUAAAACAAUGGUUUUUCAAAAACAAAUUUAAGAUUAAUUGUAUUAAAGAGAAAAACUAUAAAAAAAAAAAACACAAAAAGUGUACCUAAGAUGUACAUCAUCUUGUAACCCAAAUCAAAUGACCUUAGACAAUAGGGAAAAAAACAAAAGCUAAAAAAAAUUAAAAAUUUCUGAAAAUAAGACUGCUUGAAUAAUAGCAUAGAAAAUCAAUUCAUCAAAAUCAUUUAAUGUAAAACUUAAAAUAAUCUAUUACAAAUAAAUAACUUCAAUGGUAAGAGAAAAAACAUGACUUACAUUGUGUCGUUGGCUUUUUAUGUUGCAAUAAGUUUUCUUGAUACAGGGUCUCUAGAAGAAGGGAUUCUACCUUUUUUGUUUGUGAAAUUCAUUGUUGUAAAUGAGAUCAUUGCAUAAUUAGUUGGCAUCAAAGGACAUAAUAAUCUCUCUCUUUGUAUGAUUAAUAGAAAUGAUACUGUGAAUCUGUAAAUUAUGCCAAAAACGCUUUAUUCUGUUUCUAAAGGACUCGAGGCUAUUGCUCUAAGAGUUGAAGUGCCUAUGUUCAAAUCAUUUUAAAAUUACCUGCAUUAUUGCAUUUUUGUUCCACUAGAAAUUGUUUCUGAUGUUUUUGACAUCUACAAAUACUGCAAGGUCCUAUCCUGGUACUACUACAUCUGCUUGGUGUGGCCUUGUUAAGUUAACUGGGAAUUUGCAUAAUGUUUCCAGGCUGAUGCUUUUGAAAGCCAGCGUGGACAAUGCAUUGAUAUCACCUGGAAAGUGAUAAUUUAUUUAAAUAAAACAGACUUUACCAAGGUGAUGGAAACAAUGCUAUACUGCCCUGACAAAUAAAUGUAUAAAUGACAUUCGAGAGUUAAACUGGUUUUGCUUACACCAUUGUGCAUAGAACUGCUUAUUUCCUUUUCUGAAGAAUGUUCUUUGUACGCUUAAUUGAACUAGUCUCUUUAAGUGUUCAAUGGUUCUCACCAACCAUUUGUCAAAGAAAUAAAGAAGUCUGUUAAUUUUAUUGGUUUGCCAUUCCAACAGGGGCUGGAUCCCCUUUAAAUUGUGCAUGCAACUUGUUAGCAAACCUCUUAUUUUGGUAGGCAGAGUUUAUCCGUGUUGUGACUUCAGAUAAUAACAAUGACUGAUUUGGUCAAUCUCUCAAAAAGUUUUCUGUAUUCCCGAGAGUAAUAAUCCUAAUCAUCAUUUUAGGUUAGUUGACAGAAUAUCUUUCUUGGUUAUUUCUUAGUUCAUAUGAACCAAACCUGCCUCAUUCCUCCCCUCAUGCGAGGUAGUUAAGUAGUGUAUGAGCCCUAGUACUGGUUUCAAGAUAUGACUUAUCACUGUGUAUAUGUCUGUAGUUAGUUUAGCUGAGAGUUCAAACAAGUGUUUAUGGUGUUAAACGUUUUUCAAUCAUAAAUUGUUUUGCAGAUAUAAUUGAUGAAUUGGUGAAGAAUGGGAAAGAGAUAAGGCUGUAUAUUUUGCUUCUGAAUCUGGUUUGACGAAAAGAUUUUCUCCUGUAUCUCUACUCAAGUCAUAUCUUAAGAAUUCCAAGAAGAUCACAACUACUGUCUUGAAGAAUGGCAAUUAUAGUGUAGCUGCAACGGUGUGUCUAAUCUCUAUCUACAUUGUGUAAUUCUAAUGACAUGAAAUAUUUGAGUCUUAUUAAUUUUUUUGCAGGAUGAGUCAAGUACCUUGGAGUUGAAUUCUAUUAAAGCAAUCAUCAAAUGUGUGGAAGAUCAUAAGCUUGAAUCAGAAUUUUCCCUUGACAGCUUGAGAAAACGGGCUUCUCUGCUUGAAAAAACCAAAGCAGAGAGGAAGAGGGGUACAUCAGCUGCCACUGCUACCAAGUCUCAAAACAAGCGAGGCCAUGGUUCAAGUGGUGGCCGGGACAGUGGACCUACUCCUUAUCGUCAAGCCAAAGCUGCCAAAUUUUCAAACAAUUAUUCCUCUUUCAGCCGCAGGAAUGCUCCUCUCCCUGCACAGCAUAGCCCGGCUAGAAGAUAUUCAGGGCCAUUCCACUACCCUAGCCAGAGUGUCUACGAGGGCCCCGCAGCAGCCCCGUAUGCAUCAACUUAUGGUAUCUCGCACGCUCAAAGCCCUUCUGCAAUCUCUCAACAACCCUACCAUCACUCUCAAAGCCCCAGUGCAAUUCCUCAACAACUCUACUCACAGCCAGCGGAGAACAUGAGUGCUGCCGGUUUCCGUGCCAGUGGUUCUUAUGGAAGCCAGACCGGUUACGGGGCAUAUGAUUACGGCUCUGCUGCACCCGUUACUUACCAACCUUCAUCCUACACUCAAUAAGAUGGGAGGAACCUAGCCAGGUGUUAAGAUUCUUAUUUUUAUUUGGUGUCUGAUUUCUGGAUGUGGCCCUCUAAUUUUGGGACCCGCCCCCUUCAUCUCCCUUUCCCGUAUAAAAGUUUUUUUUUGGUCUUAUCUCAUGACUGGAUAUGAUGCCCAUGCCUGUAACGCUGAUUACCUUUAUAUGGAGCUCAAGCUGGAUGUGAUUUCCGUGCUGUGAGUUUUAAAUGGUUUGGCUAUCGAGCAUUGUAUUCUUUCAACUUCUUUCCUUGAUUGGAGUCGCCAUUGGGUGCCUAUGCUUGUGUUUUUGCCAAAUUUUGGUUAAUCAAACCAAUUUCAUUUGCUGCUUGCACUUUUUUAAGAAGGAAGAAAUGAAUAACAAGGAACAUGUUAAUUAAUAGGACUAACUUGUUAAAAUCACAACAAUUUAGUAAUCAUGCUAAAAAUCCAAUUUAGUAAGAACAUGGCUAUAAUGGGUAACAAUUAUCUAGUCCUUGUAAUUGAUAGACAUCAUUCUUUUGGCCACUAGGUCUGAAAAUAACUCACAAACAUUCAGACCAAUGGAGAAACUUGUAUUAGAUGUUCUAUAAAAUGGUUAUUCAUCAUCUAAUUCUCUACAUAAACAAAUAACUACAUAUGGUAAUCAAUAACACCAUUUAGGCUUUCAUUGAUUAGCUCAAUCAAAACUAAAAUGAGCUCAAAUAAAGUUGACCAAGCACUUGUUUUUGUACUGUUUCUUAGGAGACAAGUCUUAUGAUAUCCUUUAAUAAUAAGCACUCUAAUAAGAAUAUUUGGAAGUAGUCAUAUUCUAAGUAUUACAUGUCCACAUAAUAAUAAUUUCAACAUAAUUUGGGUACACACUUCCAAGUGAUCAGUUAAUGUUUAAUUUUACGAUAAAAUAUUUCAUUUUAUUAGUUUAGAGCAAUUAAGGCUUUUGGAAAUAAAAUUAAAUCCUUAAAAACUUGUGAACACCUUUAAUUUUGUCCCAUUGAGGACUAGUUUCUAAUUUUAGUUGUAGUUAUUUUUUAUUUUAAUUUGGUUUUUCCAUAUAUUUUUUGAAAAUUGUCUUGAUAGUUUUUAUUCUUAGAUAUAAUGGUCCAUAAUAUGAAGACAAAGGUCUAGUGCUUGAUUGAUGUUCAAUUUUAUCAAAAUAUGUUUAAAUUGAGUUGACUUAAAGCAAUUAGGGUUUAAAGGACCAAAUUUGAUUAUGAAAUAAAUAUGAGAGACUAAAAUUAAUGAGUAUAGUUAAAAAGGUACAACAGCUUUGGCAGCAUAUGCAACCUUUUCUAGCGGCCAACCCACCCUUCCACGGUGGCGAUCGAUGUAUCUUAGAAUUCUUUUUUGCAAGGGUAAUUAACACAUGUAUUCUUAUUCUUGGUGGUGUGUCGUUAGCGUUAUUUUUUUAUUUUAUUUUAUUUAUAUUUUUCCUCUCUUUUCUUUAAAAUUCAUGCUAGCCAUUUCAAAUUUCGUAGUUGUCUCCUUGUUUUAGUAUUAUUUCAAAUUCGAAUCUUUUUUUAUUACUAAGUUUUUGUUCUAGAUCUUUUUUUAAAAUGUAAAAUUGUUUUCAAUUUUCUCAUUCAAUAAAAAAUUACAAGUUGUCCUUUUUUUUAUUUUUAAAAUUUGGUCCAUAUUUUUUUAAUUCCUAUUUUUAGUUUUUGAUCCUAUAGUGAAAUUAAAUUUUCCUUUCAUUUUCAUCAUCUAAUUUGUUUUUAUUUCUAAUUCUAUUCUUAUUCUUUUGGUUGGCCUUGAUCUCUUUUUCUGUCCUUCUAGGGUGCUGUAAUCACCAUCAACAAAGUGGCCUUUUAAGGAAGAAGUGGCUCAAAUUGUUUAUAUAGUUGGGUUACAUUUUAAUAUAGUCAUGUAUUUGAAAAAGUAUUUAGUUAAUUAAUAUAUAUAUAUAUUACUAAAAAUUCUUUUAAAAUUUUAAUUAAAAUAUAAUAUAAUUUAUAACUUUUUUUAAAUGUAUUUUUUUAAAUCACAUAUCUAUCACAAAGAAAGAUCUUUUCAUAAAUCCCAACUUUCGCAAGAAUAUUAAUCAUGAGUCCUUACAUGUCCUCUUCCUUGUUGAAUUCUACGGCCUUCGAAUGUCAUGUCUAUGCCGAUUUACUCGGGUAUUUCUUUAUGCAUGCAUGCAAAAUAAUAUAAUAAUUAAUUAUUAGUUUAUAGAGGCUGAUAAAUAAAUAAAAUAUAUAGUUUAUUGAGUUUCCAAAACAAAACAAUCGCAUCUUGUGGUCAUCAACCAAAUCUAAUACUGUUUGGAAAAACACUGUUCAUGUAGAUUAAUAAGUACUAUUUAUUAAAACAAAGUAUUAAUGAUAGUUUUGCUUUUCUCGUAAAAGAAUUUGAACCAGUUAUUUAAGAUACUUUCACAAGUUUCAUUUAUUAUUAUCAAGUCAAAUUAAUAAGUGUUUUUGUAUUUUGAAAUCAUAGUAAAAUAAUUAAAAUAUGUUUACAUGUAAAAAAUUAUAAACUAAUGUCCAAGUGCUUUUUAGUAUUUUUACACUAGUUUUUUCAUUAUUAUUAGGUUAGUUGAAGGAAAAACUAGUAUUUUAAUAAAUAAAAAAUAUUAUUUAAAAACAAAAAACGACUAGCCUAUGUAAUGCUUGUGCAAGCAUAUAAGCGGCGCUAGCUACACUCAAGUGGCAUCUCUCAACGAUCAAACAUUAGUUUUUGCCAUGUCAUUGGAAGCACUGCAACAUACUCUUCCUUUAAGAACGACACAUGGUGUUAUUGGGGUGGCGGUGUGAUGUUGGUGACUUUUUUUUCUUCUCAUUCCACUUUACUCUUUCCUCCUCUUGAAAAUCGUGUUGGCCAUGCGAAAUUUCAAAGUUGUCAUCUAAUUUAUUGAGAUGUCAAAUUUAUUAUUUAUUAUUUUGAUUUAUUAUUUUUGUUUUUGGUCAUUUUGUGAAAUUUUGAGUUAUUUUUAAUUUUAUCUUUCAAUCUCAAUUUGUGAUAUAUUAUGUUUUUUUUCAAUUUAGUCUUCAUUCUUUUUGAUAGUUUUAUUUUGAGUCCUUUUGUUAAAUUGAAUUUUCUUUUCAAUUUCACCCUUCAAUUAAAAAAAAAUUUAUUUUUUUUAUUUUAAUUUUGAUCCUCAUUCCUUCAAUUACUAUUUUUUUUUUUCUAAAUAAUUGAUUUUUCUUUUUUUCAUUUUUAAAUUUUAUCAAAAACGCACGUGAUUAGUUGUUGUCAAACUAUCUAGUGCUAAGAAUUCGAAAGUCAAGUACCCUGCAAUAUGAAAGAACUCUGAAAACACACACCAGAGACAUGCAUGUUCUGCUUUAUAUUUAACCAAAGUCGUUACAAGAGAGAGGAGAAAGAGCUUAUCUAUUUGUUACAAGAGAUACAAAUUACAUGAGAUUUAAAUACCCUCCAGUUUGAACUGGAUGUGAUCCUAUUCUCCACCCAUAAAAAUUAUAAGGAAUUUAAUGGGAUUUGCAAGCAGGACAGACAUUACUGAAAAUCUAGAGUAACAAAGUACUUGCCAAUAAUAAAAGAGGAUUGGAAUGUGAUGAUGGUUAUGAAAAUCCAGUACGUUCUUGCACCGUGAUUGCCAGGAUGAAUGUAUAUGCUAAACCCAUGAAGGAAAGGCCACAUAUGAUACAAUAUGUCGCCAUGUCCAUGCUUAUUCUUACAUUACCGGUACGACCUAAUGAUAUCCGACAAAGGAUUAUAGCGGCGAUGAGGGAGAAAUUCAUAGCUAGCAUGUCAAAAAAAAUAUAAGCUCUCAUCAGAUAUUUUGAAGUACCACUGCUAAGAUCAGAACCUGAUCCAGGCACAGUGAUAGCACCAGCGAAGGUUACUCCAGCUACCAGUACUGCCACCACGAGAAGAUUCCCUACCCCUCUGUUCCGUUCCUCCGUCGUUAACGUCGUUCUUGGUGAAUCAAAGAUAAGAUUGAUGCCAAACUCAUUCUUAUCAUUUCCUCCACCAAAACUUUUAAUACCUCACGCUGAACAACAAAAUGUUAAUUAGAAAAUAUAUGGUAAACAAAUUAAUUAUAUAAAGCAUCAUGACAAUGUUAUCUUAAUAUCCCAUAAUAACGAAGAAGUAACUCAUCGCAAUAUAUUUAGUAGAUCAGCGAGGCAUUCCAUAUUUUUGAGCAAGUAAAGAACUUUAUUUCCACUUUGGAUUAAUCAAAUUUUAGGUAAUUAAAAGAAAUCUAUCAUUCCCUUUUCUAUAAAGUUGCAACAUGGACAGAAUGUGGAUGUGAAAGUUUUUGCUAGACUAGAAUGUAUUUACUUCAAUCACCUGAUUAGCUUCUUACGUGGACGAAACCCUCUGGUAUUGAUGAAUAUAAAAGAAUUAAAUGUGACUGAGGUUUUGAAAAUUAAAAAAUCUUUUUAAAUGAGUAUUGAUUGUUCCUAUAUAUGCAAUUACUAGAAGCUGGAUUGUGGAGUAUAAUGCCAUUACUAGAAGCUUAUUGGCAUAUGGAAAAAACUAGAGAGUAUUUAUGCUUCUAGACCCAUGACUAAUCGUUUUCUUUUGAAGUUAGAUUUGUACUCUUGAGGAUGGAUGAAGGAAUGGGUAUACACAAGAGUUAAAAGGUUGACAACACAAGUAGUCAAUAUUAGAAAAAACAAAAUUGGGGAAAAAGAGCGAAACCUCAUUCUACAAGCCAUUGGUGCAAACAAUACUAGUUAAAAGGAUAACUUUAGGUUUAAUCUUACUAGAUAGAAUAAAAGGUUUUGAAAGGUAACGAGGCAUUGGUGAUGGAAGGUAAUCUAGGAAAUAAAAUUAUGAUUGUCAUGGGAGGAACAUGGCAUAAAGAGGUAGAUUUGGUAUAAAAAACUCUAUUUGAGAUUCUAGAUCUAGAGUGGAAUACAAUAUUAAUAUUUUUAUUGUCAUUGCAAAAUACUAGUUAAAAGGAUAACUUUAGGUUUAAAUGAUACAACUAUAAUUUUAUUGGAGAAUGAUAGGUUUUGAAAAUAGAAAACAAUGUCAAAAGGUAACGAGGCAUUGGUUAUGGGAGGUGGUCCUGUAAUUUACCAUGAAAGAUGGGAGCAAAGUGUUGAAUAUUAAACUCAAUCCAGAAGCUCCCAGAAGGUCAAGGAAGACAACCAGCCACCAGCCACCAGUCGCCGACCAGCCGCCAGCCGCCUUCACACUUGAAGGUUGAAUUUUCUAGUUUUUGAUUUCGUGUAUAAAUAGAGUGCCUAGCUUCUGUUAAUGUGUGUGGAGAGAAUUGAGAGCAAACACUAGAAAGAGAAAUAGAGAGAGAGAGGGCAUGUACUGUUAAGCUUUUGUUAAUUAAUUGUAAGCUUGUGUUUUUGUAACAAAACUUUGUGUUUUAUCCCCUCUGAGUGUUUCAAAGUCACCACCAGUGGUUUCUCCCAUGCACCAACAAUUAGUAUCAGAGCCCCGUUCGUCAGAAAACAGAAGUGUUUUGGGGUACAUCCGAAUUUUCAAAGUUGUCAAAAACAAGUUUUGAUCAUUCCACAGUGAAGAGCUCAUCAAUACGAACUCACUGUCGCAAGAAUCAGCCUUAUCGGAGUCCGCGGUGAUCCACACGCGCCGCCUGAAGAUCCGGUGACUGUAUCCCAUGCGCAUCCACGCGCGCCAUAUUUGAGCCGCGCCGAGCCCGAGCCGCGCCGCAAGCCGAGCCGUCCUCCGCACCGAGAGAAUAUUCCCCAAAAUAUUCCCCGAAUAUUCCUGGUUCAACCUAGCGAACCGCCCGCCGUACAGAAUUGGUUUUUUGACCGGUUCACCCAUUUUCUGACCCGAAUUCAACAAAGUCAGACCGGUUCCCUGCUAUUUGGAUCAUUCCAGAUCGAUCUACAAUGUCCGUUUGGCCAAAUUCGGCUCCUAGAAAGGUGAUAUAAUCAUUCAAAGAGCAAAAUGACUACAGAAGAUACACAUACACUCAUUCCAAAGCUGACCAAAGACAACUAUGAUAGUUGGUGCAUCAGAUUGAAGGCAUUCCUUGGGUCACAAGAGUGUUUGGAUAUUGUACAAACUGGUUAUGAUGAAUCAGAGUCCAAAGAAAGAGAAGAUGUUUUAUAAGAGGCACAAAAGCAAGCUCUUAAAGUCAACAGAAAGAAAGACAACAAAGCAAAGACCAUCAUCUAUCAGGGUCUUGAUGAAGACACAUUCGAGAUCAUAGCUUCCGCUGAAACAUCACAUGAUAUAUGGAGGCUCUCCAACAGAAAUACAAAGGUGCUGACAGAAUUAAAAAAAUUCGUCUUCAAUCUUUGCGAGGUGAAUUUGAGUUAUUGCAAAUGAAGUCCUCGGAGUCUAUUUCUGAUUAUCGCACAAGGAUUAUGGUGAUAGUCAACCAGAUGAGGAGAAAUGGAGAAGCCAUCGUCGAUUCUCGAAUUACUGAGAAAAUUUUGAGAUCGCUAGAUCCAAAAUUCGAUUUUGUUGUUGUCGCAAUUGAAGAAUCUAAAGAAGUGGACAAGUUGACAGUUGAUGAACUUAUGAGUUCUUUGCAAGCUCAUGAGCAGAAAAUUGUAAAGGGAAAUGGAGAUAAGGCAAUUGAGCAUGCCUUACAAGCAAAGCUGUCUCUCAAGGACAAAUAUGAGCAAGGGGAGACUUCAACAAAUGGAUAUACCACUCAAGCAGGAAGUCAACAAUCCAGAGGAGGAUUCCAGAGAUUCCAAGGAAGAGGUUCUUGGAAUACAAGCUUUAGAGGAAGAGGUGGCAGAAACAUCAUUAGAGGAGAUCGAGGACAACAAGCAUUCAAUCCUAGAGGAAGAGGGGGCGAUUACAAUAACCAUGACAAGAGGAAUAUCCAAUGUUAUAGUUGCAAUCAAUUUGGGCACUAUAGCACUGAAUGCAGAAGGAAAGCUCUAUUGGAGAUACGUGAGCAAGCCAACUAUGCAGAGAAGGAUGACAGAGAAGAAGCUGCAUUUCUUGUCCAACAAGAACAAAAUUAAGAUAAGGAAAUGAAAUAUUAUAGUUUUACAAUAAUAUAAUUGUUUUUUGCAUUAUACUUACCUAAUUACAAUGUGGUUUUCCCACACAUUUCUUACAACCCCCUCAUUUUCCUUGUCCUGGUAAUUUUUUUUCCUUGUAGUCAAACAUUAGUUAUUUUUAAAAAAAUUUUAAAAACUAUAUAUUAACUCAAUGUAUAUAUUAUUUAUUUAACCAUUAACUUUUCCCAAAAACAUCUACUAUAAUCAUACAUUUAGAAUGAUCUUAAAGUUGACUCUAUUAAAACAAUGGUUUUUCAAAAACAAAUUUAAGAUUAAUUGUAUUAAAGAGAAAAACUAUAAAAAAAAAACACAAAAAGUGUACCUAAGAUGUACAUCAUCUUGUAACCCAAAUCAAAUUGACCUUAGACAAUAGGGAAAAAAACAAAAGCUAAAAAAAAUUAAAAAUUUCUGAAAACAAGACUGCUUGAAUAAUAGCAUAGAAAAUCAAUUCAUCAAAAUCAUUUAAUGUAAAACUUAAAAUAAUCUAUUACAAAUAAAUAACUUCAAUGGUAAGAGAAAAAACAUGACUUACAUUGUGUCGUUGGCUUUUUAUGUUGCAAUAAGUUUUCUUGAUACAGGGUCUCUAGAAGAAGGGAUUCUACCUUUUUUGUUUGUGAAAUUCAUUGUUGUAAAUGAGAUCAUUGCAUAAUUAGUUGGCAUCAAAGGACAUAAUAAUCUCUCUCUUUGUAUGAUUAAUAGAAAUGAUACUGUGAAUCUGUAAAUUAUGCCAAAAACGCUUUAUUCUGUUUCUAAAGGACUCGAGGCUAUUGCUCUAAGAGUUGAAGUGCCUAUGUUCAAAAUCAUUUUAAAAUUACCUGCAUUAUUGCAUUUUUGUUCCACUAGAAAUUGUUUCUGAUGUUUUUGACAUCUACAAAUACUGCAAGGUCCUAUCCUGGUACUACUACAUCUGCUUGGUGUGGCCUUGUUAAGUUAACUGGGUAUUUGCAUAAUGUUUCCAGGCUGAUGCUUUUGAAAGCCAGCGUGGACAAUGCAUUGAUAUCACCUGGAAAGUGAUAAUUUAUUUAAAUAAAACAGACUUUACCAAGGUGAUGGAAACAAUGCUAUACUGCCCUGACAAAUAAAUGUAUAAAUGACAUGCGAGAGUUAAACUGGUUUUGCUUACACCAUUGUGCAUAGAACUGCUUAUUUCCUUUUCUGAAGAAUGUUCUUUGUACGCUUAAUUGAACUAGUCUCUUUAAGUGUUCAAUGGUUCUCACCAACCAUUUGUCAAAGAAAUAAAGAAGUCUGUUAAUUUUAUUGGUUUGCCAUUCCAACAGGGGCUGGAUCCCCUUUAAAUUGUGCAUGCAACUUGUUAGCAAACCUCUUAUUUUGGUAGGCAGAGUUUAUCCGUGUUGUGACUUCAGAUAAUAACAAUGACUGAUUUGGUCAAUCUCUCAAAAAGUUUUCUGUAUUCCCGAGAGUAAUAAUCCUAAUCAUCAUUUUAGGUUAGUUGACAGAAUAUCUUUCUUGGUUAUUUCUUAGUUCAUAUGAACCAAACCUGCCUCAUUCCUCCCCUCAUGCGAGGUAGUUAAGUAGUGUAUGAGCCCUAGUACUGGUUUCAAGAUAUGACUUAUCACUGUGUAUAUGUCUGUAGUUAGUUUAGCUGAGAGUUCAAACAAGUGUUUAUGGUGUUAAACGUUUUUCAAUCAUAAAUUGUUUUGCAGAUAUAAUUGAUGAAUUGGUGAAGAAUGGGAAAGAGAUAAGGCUGUAUAUUUUGCUUCUGAAUCUGGUUUGACGAAAAGAUUUUCUCCUGUAUCUCUACUCAAGUCAUAUCUUAAGAAUUCCAAGAAGAUCACAACUACUGUCUUGAAGAAUGGCAAUUAUAGUGUAGCUGCAACGGUGUGUCUAAUCUCUAUCUACAUUGUGUAAUUCUAAUGACAUGAAAUAUUUGAGUCUUAUUAAUUUUUUUGCAGGAUGAGUCAAGUACCUUGGAGUUGAAUUCUAUUAAAGCAAUCAUCAAAUGUGUGGAAGAUCAUAAGCUUGAAUCAGAAUUUUCCCUUGACAGCUUGAGAAAACGGGCUUCUCUGCUUGAAAAAACCAAAGCAGAGAGGAAGAGGGGUACAUCAUCAGCUGCCACUGCUACCAAGUCUCAAAACAAGCGAGGCCAUGGUUCAAGUGGUGGCCGGGACAGUGGACCUACUCCUUAUCGUCAAGCCAAAGCUGCCAAAUUUUCAAACAAUUAUUCCUCUUUCAGCCGCAGGAAUGCUCCUCUCCCUGCACAGCAUAGCCCGGCUAGAAGAUAUUCAGGGCCAUUCCACUACCCUAGCCAGAGUGUCUACGAGGGCCCCGCAGCAGCCCCGUAUGCAUCAACUUAUGGUAUCUCGCACGCUCAAAGCCCUUCUGCAAUCUCUCAACAACCCUACCAUCACUCUCAAAGCCCCAGUGCAAUUCCUCAACAACUCUACUCACAGCCAGCGGAGAACAUGAGUGCUGCCGGUUUCCGUGCCAGUGGUUCUUAUGGAAGCCAGACCGGGUUACGGGGCAUAUGAUUACGGCUCUGCUGCACCCGUUACUUACCAACCUUCAUCCUACACUCAAUAAGAUGGGAGGAACCUAGCCAGGUGUUAAGAUUCUUAUUUUUAUUUGGUGUCUGAUUUCUGGAUGUGGCCCUCUAAUUUUGGGACCCGCCCCCUUCAUCUCCCUUUCCCGUAUAAAAGUUUUUUUUUGGUCUUAUCUCAUGACUGGAUAUGAUGCCCAUGCCUGUAACGCUGAUUACCUUUAUAUGGAGCUCAAGCUGGAUGUGAUUUCCGUGCUGUGAGUUUUAAAUGGUUUGGCUAUCGAGCAUUGUGAUUACUCUCAUGAUUGGAGUCGCCAUUGGGCGCCUAUGCUUGUUUUUUUGCUAAAUUUUGGCAUGCCUAAUAGACUAAUUUGUUAAAUCACAACAAUUUAGUAAUCAUGCUAAAAAUCCAAUUUAGUAAGAACAUGGCUAUGAUGGGUAACAAUUAGCUAGCCCUUGUAAUUGAUAGACGUCAUUCUUUUGGCCACGAGAGGUCUGAAAAUAACUCACAAACAUUCAGACCAAUGGAGAAGCUUGUAUUACAUGUUCUAUAAAAUGGUUAUUCAUCAUCUAAUUCUUUAUAUAAACAAAUAACUACACAUGAAUAGAACAAUAAUGUUCCCUUAUAGUUUAUAAUAUUGCCACCUUUGUGAGUAUCAUUACCUUUGUGAAUAUCAUUUUGCCUCUACCAUCACAACCUCACAGUUAAUUUUUUUUUUCAUCAUUCAAUUUUUUUUUAAAAUUAGUCUUAUAAUUUGUUUUUUCAAUUCAGCUAUCCCCGAUUUCAUUACCAGAACUACAUGUUUGAUGAAUUUUUUUUGGGUCGCUGUUUUUUUAUUUAAAAUUUUAUUAGUUUCAUCCUUGAACAUUUGGUUCCUUUAGAAUUGAUUAUUGUAAUCAUUCUAAAGACAUGCAUAAAUUGUUUUAAGGCCUUAAAGUGCAUCUUCAUUCAUCUCAGAAACUGAAAAAAUAAAAAAAAAUCAAAUAAAAGAAACCUAAUUAUUUUUCCUGGCCUUGAUCUCUUUUUCUUUGUCCUUCUAGGGUGGUGUAAUCACCAUCAACAAAAUGGCCUUUUAAGGAAGAAGGGGACACUGGACACCAUUAUAGCAGGUUGCAAUGUCAGGAUCUAGAGGAAAGUUUCUCUCCUCGCCUAUCUCUCCUCGGUCCUGUCUCCGAUCUUUACAUACAGGGACUGAAUUUUAAAAAUAGUGUGUUUGUUUUUUAAAUAGGUUUUGUGGUUUUGAUUUUAAAAAAAUAAAUUUAAAAAAAGUGUGGUUAACUAUGAUUAGUUAAAUUUAAAUACGUGUUUAGUAAAAAUUAUAGUUGAAGUUUAUGUGUAACAAAAAUAAUGUAUAAAAUAUUUGGUGGAAGUAUAGUUGCCGUUGUUUUUUAAAGUGUUUUUUACUUGGAAAUGUAUCAAAAUAAUUUUUUUAAAAAAAUUAUUUUUGAUAUCAGCAUUGAUUUGAAAACAAAAAAAAUAUAUCAAUUUGAAGCAAAGAAAAAAAUAAAAAAAUUUAUUUUUUUCAAAAGCGCUUUUGAAACAUAAAAAUAAAUAGGGUUUUAUGAAACUCAAUUAAAAAAUCAUGUAAAAACUACUACAUAAAAAUUACGUUUCAAACUCAACUUUUUAGUAAGUCCCGCAUUACAAACCAAAGUUUAGUUUGUUAAUUACCAAACACUUUGCCAUGUUUGUUUCACCACAAACAAAAAACCAGUGAAGAAAUCCUAAAUAUCUAAAUAAUUUAUACAUGUUUUUUACUACACAUAACCUUUAACUAUAAUUUUUAUUAAACACAUAUUUAAAUUCAAUUAAUUACAAUUGACUCUAUUUAAAAAAAAAAACUUAUUUUUUUAAAUUAAAAUCUCAAAAACUAUCUAAAAAAUAAAGAAACGAGUGAGGAUGUUGAUGAUGCCAAGCAAGUCAGUGUAAAGUGGAAAUCUUGACAAGAUGUUGUAGCCUUCAUAAAAAGUACAAUGCAGUACAAAACGAGAGGUGAAUGUUUGAGAUUGUUAUAAUUUUUAAUUUUAUAUGAUUUUUAAAAGUAUAUUUUAUUUUAAAAAUAUAUUAAAUUAAUAUUUUUUUAAUAAUUUUUUCUAAAACAUAUUUUUCUAAAACAUAUUUUUAAAAAUAAUUUCCAUCACAACACUAAAAACAUAUAAAUAUUUAUCAUAGUAACAAGAAGUGAUAAUAUUUGAUGUAAAAACGGCUGAAUGUAUAUGUCAUGUUUCGAGAAGCGUCCAUGAUUAUAUCAUUAUGAUCCCAAAAAGAAAAAUAUUAAAUAUUAGGCUACAAUUAUUUAUAUACAGUUUUAAAACCUGGACCGGCCCGGCAGGUCAACUCGGGCCGAGACCGGUCCAGGUAGAGGCAAAAAUCUACUUGGAAAUUGACUCGGUAAAACCCGGUCGAUCUGCCGGGUUGACCCCGUGACCUGGACCACCCGGUCAAACCCGGCUGACACAUGAUCUCUCUUUCUCUCUUUCUCUAUAUAUAUAUAUAGACGUUAAACGACGUCGUUUUGGCCUUAAAAGGCCAAAACGAUGAACAAUGACGAAGCAGAAUUGGGGACACAUUGAUUACAGAGCAAACCCAAUUAACGAAAGAUUCCAUCACAGCCAAUGCAACUACAGUCUGGUCUAUAAGCUUUUGGCUUUCUUCUUUGCUCUUGCCAAUUAGGAUUUUUGCGUUUCGAGUGAUCGAUUUGCCCAUCAAAGUUGAAGUGAAGGGAGUGAGUUGGUUACAGAGAGAACUCCAUUCUAGGAUUUUAAGGGUUUUGAGUUGGAGUGAGCGAGCUGGAGGAGUGAGUUUCGGUGAGUGUGAAUCAAAGGGUUUUGUUAGGGCUUUGGUGGAGAAGGGUGGUUUGGUGGUGAAGAAGAGAAUCGGGGAUUUUUUAAUGGCUAUUAAAUGAUUGGAGAGUUUGAUUAAUGAAGGAUUUUUGAGGGAGAGAAGGAAAGGGAUGGGCUGUUUGACAACAACUUAUCCUUUUUAUUUUCAGCUUAUCUUUUAUUUUAGGUUGACUUGUUUUUAGGUUGACUCGUGUCAAUCAAUCUAACUCGUGAUUCGAUCACUUGACUAGAUUGAUAUCCGGAUCGAUUUUUAAAAUUAUGAUUUCUAUAAUUAGGUUACAUUUCGUUAUAGUCAUGUAUUUGAAAAAAUAUUUAGUUAAUAAAUAUAUAUAUAUAUAUAUAUAUAUAUAUAUGUUUUACUAAAAAUUAUUUUAAAAUUUUAAUUAAAAUAUAAUAUAUUUUAUAACUUUUUUUAAAAUGUAUUUUUUAAAAUCACAUAUCUAUCACAAAGAAAGAUCUUUUCAUACAUCCCAACUUUAGGCUAGAAGAUAUUCAGGGCCAUUCCACUACCCUAGCCAGAGUGUCUACGAGGGCCCCGCAGCAGCCCCGUAUGCAUCAACUUAUGGUAUCUCGCACGCUCAAAGCCCUUCUGCAAUCUCUCAACAACCCUACCAUCACUCUCAAAGCCCCAGUGCAAUUCCUCAACAACUCACUCACAGCCAGCGGAGACAUGAGUGCUGCCGGUUUCCGUGCCAGUGGUUCUUAUGGAAGCCAGACCGGUUACGGGGCAUAUGAUUACGGCUCUGCUGCACCCGUUACUUACCAACCUUCAUCCUACACUCAAUAAGAUGGGAGGAACCUAGCCAGGUGUUAAGAUUCUUAUUUUAUUUGGUGUCUGAUUUCUGGAUGUGGCCCUCUAAUUUUGGGACCCGCCCCCUUCAUCUCCCUUUCCCGUAUAAAAGUUUUUUUUUGGUCUUAUCUCAUGACUGGAUAUGAUGCCCAUGCCUGUAACGCUGAUUACCUUUAUAUGGAGCUCAAGCUGGAUGUGAUUUCCGUGCUGUGAGUUUUAAAUGGUUUGGCUAUCGAGCAUUGUGAUUACUCUCAUGAUUGGAGUCGCCAUUGGGCGCCUAUGCUUGUUUUUUUGCUAAAUUUUGGCAUGCCUAAUAGACUAAUUUGUUAAAUCACAACAAUUUAGUAAUCAUGCUAAAAAUCCAAUUUAGUAAGAACAUGGCUAUGAUGGGUAACAAUUAGCUAGCCCUUGUAAUUGAUAGACGUCAUUCUUUUGGCCACGAGAGGUCUGAAAAUAACUCACAAACAUUCAGACCAAUGGAGAAGCUUGUAUUACAUGUUCUAUAAAAUGGUUAUUCAUCAUCUAAUUCUUUAUAUAAACAAAUAACUACACAUGAAUAGAACAAUAAUGUUCCCUUAUAGUUUAUAAUAUUGCCACCUUUGUGAGUAUCAUUACCUUUGUGAAUAUCAUUUUGCCUCUACCAUCACAACCUCACAGUUAAUUUUUUUUUUCAUCAUUCAAUUUUUUUUUAAAAUUAGUCUUUAUAAUUUUGUUUUUCAAUUCAGCUAUCCCGAUUUCAUUACCAGAACUACAUGUUUGAUGAAUUUUUUUUUGGGUCGCUGUUUUUUUUAUUUAAAAUUUUAUUAGUUUCAUCCUUGAACAUUUGGUUCCUUUAGAAUUGAUUAUUGUAAUCAUUCUAAAGACAUGCAUAAAUUGUUUUAAGGCCUUAAAGUGCAUCUUCAUUCAUCUCAGAAACUGAAAAAAUAAAAAAAAAUCAAAUAAAAGAAACCUAAUUAUUUUUCCUGGCCUUGAUCUCUUUUUCUUUGUCCUUCUAGGGUGGUGUAAUCACCAUCAACAAAAUGGCCUUUUAAGGAAGAAGGGGACACUGGACACCAUUAUAGCAGGUUGCAAUGUCAGGAUCUAGAGGAAAGUUUCUCUCCUCGCCUAUCUCUCCUCGGUCCUGUCUCCGAUCUUUACAUACAGGGACUGAAUUUUAAAAAUAGUGUGUUUGUUUUUUAAAUAGGUUUUGUGGUUUUGAUUUAAAAAAAUAAGUUUAGAAAAAGGUGUGGUUAACUAUGAUUAGUUAAAUUUAAAUACAUGUUUAGUAAAAAUUAUAGUUGAAGUUUAUGUGUAACAAAAAUAAUAUAUAAAAUAUUUGGUGGAAGUGUUGGUUGUUUGUUUUUUACUUGGAAAUACAUCAAAAUAAUUUUUUUUUAAUUAUUUUUUAUAUCAGCAUUGAUUUGAAAACAAAAAAUAUAUCAAUUUGAAGCAAGGAAAAAAAUAAAAAAAUUUAUUUUUUUCAAAAGCGUUUUGAAACGUAAAAAUAAAUAGGGUUUUAUGAACUCAAUUAAAAAAUCAUGUAAAAAUACUACAUAAAAAUUGCGUUUCAAACUCAAUUUUUUAUAAGUCCCGCAUUACAAACCAAGUUUGGUUUGUUAAUUACCAAACACUUUGCCAUGUUUGUUUCACCGCAAACAAAAAACCAGUGAAAAAAUCUAAAUAUCUAAAUAAUUUAUACAUGUUUUUUACUACACAUAAAAUUUAACUAUAAUUUUUAUUAAAUACAUAUUUAAAUUCAAUUAAUUACAAUUGACUCUAUUUAAAAAAAACUUAUUUUUUUAAAUUAAAAUCUCAAAAACUAUCUAAAAAAUAAAGAAACGAGUGAGGAUGUUGAUGAUGCCAAGCAAGUCAGUGUAAAGUGGAAAUCUUGACAAGAUGUUGUAGUCUUCAUAAAAAGUACAAUGCAGUACAAAACGAGAGGUGAAUGUUUGAGAUUGUUAUAAUUUUUAAUUUUAUAUGAUUUUUAAAAGUAUAUUUUAUUUUAAAAAUAUAUUAAAUUAAUAUUUUUUUAAUAAUUUUUUAUAAAACAUAUUUUUAAAAAUAAUUUCCAUCACAACACUAAAAACAUAUAAAUAUUUAUCAUAGUAACAAGAAGUGAUAAUAUUUGAUGUAAAAACGGCUGAAUGUAUAUGUCAUGUUUCGAGAAGCGUCCAUGAUUAUAUCAUUAUGAUCCCAAAAAGAAAAAUAUUAAAUAUUAGGCUACAAUAUUUAUCAUAAUUUUAAAACUCGGACCGGCCCGCAGGUCGACUCGGGUCUGGAACCGGUCCAAGUGGAGGCAAAAAUCCACUUGGAAAUUGACUCGGUGAAACCUGGUCGAUCUGCGGGUCGACCCGUGACCCGGAUCACCCGGUCAAACCCGGCUGACACUUGACUCUCUCUCUUAUAUAUAUAUAUAUAUAUAGACGUUAAAAGACCGUUUUGGCCUUUUAAAAGGCCAAAACGAUUAACAAUGACGAAGCAGAAUUGGGACACAUUGAUUACAGAGCAAACCCAAAUAACGAAAGAUUCCAUCACAGCCAAUGCAACUACAGUCUGGUCUAUAAGCUUUUGGCUUUCUUCUUUGCUCUUGCCAAUUAGGAUUUUUGCGUUUCGAGUGAUCGAUUUGCCCAUCAAAGUUGAAGUGAAGGGAGUGAGUUGGUUACAGAGAGAACUCCAUUCUAGGAUUUUAAGGGUUUUGAGUUGGAGUGAGCGAGCUGGAGGAGUGAGUUUCGGUGAGUGUGAAUCAAAGGGUUUUGUUAGGGCUUUGGUGGAGAAGGGUGGUUUGGUGGUGAAGAAGAGAAUCGGGGAUUUUUUAAUGGAUAAAUGAUUGGAGAGUUUCAUUAAUGAAGGAUUUUUGAGGGAGAGAAGGAAAGGGAUGGCUGUUUGGACUUAUCCUUAUUUCAGCUUAUUUUUUUUUUAGAGUUUAUGCCGUGUCAAUCAUCUGACUCGUGAUCCGAUCACUUGACUAGAUUGAUAUCCGGAUCGGGUUUCAAAACUAUGAUUUCUAUAAUUAGGUUACAUUUCGUUAUAGUCAUGUAUUUGAAAAAUAUUUAGUAUUAUAUAUAUAUAUAUAUAUAUAUAUAUAUGUUUUACUAAAAAUUAUUUUAAAAUUUUAAUUAAAAUAUAAUAUAUUUUAUAACUUUUUUUAAAAUGUAUUUUUUAAAAUCACAUAUCUAUCACAAAGAAAGAUCUUUUCAUACAUCCCAACUUUAGGCUAGAAGAUAUUCAGGGCCAUUCCACUACCCUAGCCAGAGUGUCUACGAGGGCCCCGCAGCAGCCCCGUAUGCAUCAACUUAUGGUAUCUCGCACGCUCAAAGCCCUUCUGCAAUCUCUCAACAACCCUACCAUCACUCUCAAAGCCCCAGUGCAAUUCCUCAACAACUCUACUCACAGCCAGCGGAGAACAUGAGUGCUGCCGGUUUCCGUGCCAGUGGUUCUUAUGGAAGCCAGACCGGUUACGGGGCAUAUGAUUACGGCUCUGCUGCACCCGUUACUUACCAACCUUCAUCCUACACUCAAUAAGAUGGGAGAAACCUAGCCAGAUGUUAAGAUGAAGACAAAGAUCUGGUGCUCGAUUGAUGUUCAAUUUUAUCAAAUUAUGUUUAAAUUAAGUUGAUUUAAAGCAAUUAGGCCUUAAGGAAUCAAAUUUGAUUAUGAAACAAAUAUGGGAGACUGAAAUUAAUGGGUAUAGUUAAAAAGACACAGUAGCUGUGGCAGCGUAUGCAAUCUUUUCUAGCGGCCAACUCACCCUUCCAUGGUAGCGAUCGAUGCAUCUUAGAAUUCUUUUUCUGCAAUGGUAACACAUGUGUCGCCUAAUUUUUGGUUAUUUUUAUUUUAAUUAUUUUAUUUACCGAAAAGGAUAAAAUGAUGAUAAAAAAAAUAAUAAUGAUGAAAAACAAGUAAAAUAAAGAAUAAAUUAAAAUUUAGGUUAAGGACAACAUGAUGGAAAGUUUUGGGGUUUAAUUAAACUUUGGAAUUAAUCUAAUUAAUCCAAUCAAGGGCUUAAUUGGAGAAUUGAUAAGUUUUAAGACUUAAUUGAGCUUGAAAUUAAUUUAAUUAAUCCAAUCAAUGUUUUAAUUGGAGAAUUGAUAAGUUUUUGGACUUAAUUGAGCUUGGAAUUAAUUUAAUGAAUGAAAUCAAGGACGUAAUUGAAGAAAUAUCAAAGUUUGGGGUUAAUUGGGGUACAAUUUGCAAGAAAUGAAAACGCAAGGACCAAUGUGUAAAUUGCAAUGAGAUGCAGGGGUUCAAUUAAAAUUUACCCAACGACUGGACUGCUAAAAUUCAAAAUGACAAGGAUCAAAAUGCAAUUAGCCAUGUCCAUCAACACUAUUCAUCUUUUCCUUCACUCGCCCGAACAAAAACGGAUGCAUCGCCAUUACUCCUGCAAUAACAGUCAAUUUAUUACCUGGUAACGGUGGCAUUCUGUGGCUAUAAAGCCAGAGAGAACAAAGGGGCUAGAGAAGGGGGAACCGAAAAGCCACUGGUGAUCAUAGAACCGAAAAGCCACUGGUGAUCAUAGAACCGUGAGCAGCAGUGGAAGAUCUUCAUCCCCAGCAGCUUCCUCCAUUUCAAGCAGCUCCUCGCCACGGUUAGUCUCCACCCCAACACCAGAUACUCCAAGAUCAGCCACCGUGGGUAGUGUUGCCACCAAUCACCUCACACAGCAUCGUGAACUCCAACAGCAAGGCAACUGUCAGCAGCCUUGCAACAACCAGCAUCUCCCUUCUGCACCGUGAGCUUCAAUCACUCCACCAGCAUCACUAGUUCCAUCGUGACUAGCAUCACCAGCAGCUUAUCUCAGCAAAUCAGUAGCUCAUCACGGUGGCGACUGAUUUUUGAAGAGAGGCUGAAGCGUUCCUCAGCAACUCUUCUAGACAGGGAGGAGAAGAACCCCCAUCUCUUUUGUUCAGACCUCCAUCACCAUCAACCAUCGCCUUUCAUCUUCCAACAAAUAGCGUAAGCAGCAGCACAGGAAGGGAGGACUAGAGAAGACGCAGAACAACAGAAACAGAGGGGGAAACAGUAGCAGUCGGGCAAGCCUCCGUCACCAUCGACAUCGUCUUCGCCUUCACCUCGCAGCUGCGCCACCCCAGCAGCUCUUCCUCACCGUGACAUCCAGCAGUCUUCCCUUGAAGCAGCCGUCUCCCUCAGCCUUGCCAGGUAAGUUCUUCAGCUUUCCUUCUUUUGGUAAAUUAAUUACCUGUUACUGUUGCAUGCAUGCGUGAGUGAUUCACGCAUGCAUGCAACAGUGGCAGCCGGGUCACUGGUUUGGACCAGUGACCCGAACUUUUUUUUUUUUUUUUACCAUGCAACAUCAAUAAACAGAAAAAUAAAAAAAAUAGAAAAAAUAAAAAAUGUGUAUGCAUGAAUAAAAAUAAUGUAAAUUUAUUGGUUUAUUCACUGAAACCAGAGUCAGGAAUAAAAAUACCGGUUUAAAUAUAUAUUAUUUUUAUUCGUUGUAUUUUUAUUUUAUUUAGCUAGAAAAAUAACAAAUAUGUGCAUGAAUAAAAAUAAAUUUAUUUUUAUUUAUUUAUUCACUGGCACUAAAAUAGGGAAUAAAAAAAUAUUGAUUUUUUUUUUCAUAGCUAUGAAUUUUUACCAACGCCAGAGUUGGAAUUAUUCGAGCUCGAAUAUUCACUGGCGUCAGAGUCAGGAAUAUUAUAAAACAAAUCAUCAUAGCAUAAACUAAUAAAUAUUUAGCAAUUUAAGACAUAAACCAGCAAUGCAGUCUGUCUUAGGCAGAACGUUUAAAGGGUGAUAAUAUCUUCCCUUUUAAGUAACUAAUCCCGAGCCAUAGAAUCUCUGUUGACCAGUUAGGGUUCCUAGUAACCAUAAUACUAGGUGACGACUCCUUAAACAAGAUAUUUUCUUUAAAAGAACCGGAUGCCAGAAAUCUGUUCUUUUUCCAUAAUUCAAGAGAAUUAUUUUGAGGGCCGAUGCGAUGUCGGGUGCGACAACAUGUAUUCUUAUUCUUAGUGUUGUGUUGUUGGUGUUAUUUAUUUUAUUUUUUUCCAUAUUUUCCCUCUUUUCUCUUUAAAAUUCAUGAUAGCCAUUUCAAAGUUCAUAGUUGUCUCCUUAUUUUAGUAUUAUUUCAAAUGCAAUCCUUUUUUUAUUACUAAGUUUUUGUUCUAGAUCUUUUUCUAAAAUGUAAAAUUAUUUUCAAUUUUAUCAUUCAAUAAAAAAUUAUAAGUUGUCCUUUCAAUUCAUUUUUAAAAUUUGGUCCAUAUUUUUUUAAUUCCUAUUUUUAGUUUUUGAUCCUAUAGUGAAAUUAAAUUUUCCUUCCAUUUUCAUCAUCUAAUUUGUUUUUAUUUCUAAUUCUAUUCUUAUUCUUUUGGUUUUUUUUUAGAGCCUUUUGUAAAAUUAAAUUUUUUAAAUUAAUUUUUCAGCAUGAGGUUAUUUAAGAAUUGGAUUCCAUGUGUUUUUAUUGAUGGGAUGAUUCAUGACAUGGACCAAGUCAUAUAUUUAAAAAAUUGACCCGGGUUAACAUUGUUCUUUUAUUUAUUGAGUUUUAUUUUUUUUAUACACGUUUUAUUUUUUAUUUUCAUCCUUUAAUUUUUUUUUAAUUGAGCUUUAUGAUUUUUUUUUUAAUUUUCUUUCAAUCAUGUUAUCCUUAUUCAUCUCAGAAACUGAAAAAAAAAAAAAUAAAUGAAACCUAAUUAUUUUUCGUGGCCUUGAUCUCUUUUUCUUUGUCUUUCUAGGGUGCUGUAAUCACCAUCAACAAAGUGGCCUUUUAAGGAAGAAGUGGCUCAAAUUGUUUCUAUAGUUGGGUUACAUUUUAAUAUAGUCAUGUAUUUGAAAAAGUAUUUAGUUAAUUAAUAUUUAUUACAUAUAUAUAUAUAUACACACACAUUACUAAAAAUUAUUUUAAAAUUUUAAUUAAAAUAUAAUAUAAUUUAUAAAUCCCAACUUUCGCAAGAAUAGUAAUCAUGAGUCCUGACAUGUCCUCUUCCUUGUUGAAUUCUACGGGCUUCGAAUGUCAUGUUCAUGCCGAUUUACUAGGGUAUUUCUUUAUGCAUGCAUGCAAAAUAAUAUAAUAAUUAAUUAUUAGUUGAUAGAGGCUGAUAAAUAAAUAAAAAUAUAUAGUUUAUUGAGUUUCCAAAACAAAAUAAUCGCAUCAUGCAUGUGGUCUUCAACCAAAUCUACUACUGUUUGCAAAAAUAGUGUUCAUGUAGAUUAAUAAGGCCAUGUUUGUUUCUCGGAAAGUAGUUUUUAGAAAAUUAUUUUCCAAACUUUCUUGUGUUUGUUUGUCAUUAGAAAAGUUGGUCAACGGAAAACACUUUCCAGUAAAAAAAAAAUUUUAACUUGGUUUUCAGGAAAGUAUUUUCCUUUUAGAUGUGCUUGUUUUCUGGAAAGUGGUUUCCGAGAAAUUACUUUCCAAACUUUCUUGUGUUUGUUUGCCAGUAGAAAAGUUGGUCAAUGAAAAAUACUUUCCAGUAAAAGGAAAAUUUGGCUUGGUUUUCAGAAAAGUGUUUUCCUGAAAAAUUUAAGGGGAAAACACUUUCCGGAAGUUGUGAAAAAUUUAGAAAUGUCAUUAUUUUCUGAUUAUAUCAAAUUUGAUCCUCAAACUUUUGAUUGCUAUAUAUAUUUUGUUUUGAAUAUUUAUUUUUCAAUUUCAUCUCUUAAAAUGUUAUUUUUAUAUUAGCGUUGGUCCUUAUUUUUAUAGUUGCUAUUUGCUUUUUCCUUAUUAUUUUUUUAUUGAAAUUUUUUAUUUAUCAAAUUUGAUCCUCAUUCUUUUUAUUGUUACUUAUUUUAUUUGAAAUAAUUUAUGAAAUGUUGAUUAUUAUUAUUUUAAUUUCUUCAUUUUUUUUUUUUAGAUUUGAUCCCUAUUAUUUUGAUUAUUAUUUAUUUUAUUUGAGAUAAUUUAUGAAAUUAUAUUUUUUUUUUCAAUUUCAUUCUCAUUCAACUUUUUAAUUUGUAAGAUUUGUUCCUCAUUAUUUUAAUAAACUUGAGAAAAAUAAAAUAUUAAUAAGUUAUUUUCUAGCUCAUUUUCCAUGACAUAACCAAACACUGGAAAGUGUUUUCCAACUCAUUUUCCAUUACACUACCAAACAUCGGAAAAUACUUUAUCGGAAUUCACUUUCUCCGGAAUUCACUUUUCAAAAGGAAAACUUUCCAGCAAACAAACGGAGCCUAAGUACUAUUUAUUGAAACAAAGUAAUGAUAUUUUGCUUUUCUUGUAAAAGAAUUUGAACAAGUUAUUUAAGAUAGUUUCACAAGUUUCAUUUGUUAUUAUCGGGUCAAAUUAAUAAGUGUUUUUGCAUUUUAAAAUUAUAGUGAAAUAAUUAAAAUAUUCUUAUAUGUAAAAAAUUAUAAAUUGAUGUCCAAGAACUUUUUAGUAUUUUCACAUUAGUUUUUUCGUUAUUAUUAGGUUAGUUGAAGGAAAAUUUGGUAUUUUAAUAAAUAUAAAAUAUUAUUUAAAAACAAAAAACGGCUAGCCUAUGUAAUGCUUGUGCUAGCGUAUGGGUGGUGCUAGCUCCAUUCGGGUGGCAUCUCUCGACGACCGAACACUAGCUUUUGCCAUGUUAUUAAUUGAAAGCAUUGCAAUAUAAUCUUCCUUUAAGAACGGCACGUUGUGUUAUUGGGGUGGUUAUGUGAUGUUGGUGACCUUUUUUUCUUCUCAUCCCACUUUAGUCUUUCCUCCUUUUAAAAAUCAUGUUGGUCAUGUGAAAUUUUAAAGUUGUCCUUUAAUUUAUUGAGAUGUCAAAUUCAUUAUUAUUUUUUUUGAUAUUUUUUUUUUUGUUCUUGGUUAUUUUGUGAAAUUUUUAGUUAUUUUUAAUUUUAUCCUUCAAUCUCAAUUUGUGAUACAUUAUAUUUUUUUCAAUUUAGUCCUUAUUCUUUUGAUAUUUUUAUUUUUUGAGUCCUUUUAUAAAAUUGAAUUUUCUUUUCAAUUUCAUCCUUCAAUUAAAAAUAAAAUUUAUUUUUUAUUUUAAUUUUAAUUUGCAUUCCUUCAAGUACCCUUUUUUUUAAUCUCUCUGUAUAAUUGAUUUUUCUUUUUUUCAUUUUUAAAUUUUAUCAAAAACGCACGCGAUUCGUUGUUGUCAAACUAUCUAGUGCUAAGAAUUCGAAAGUCAAGUACCCUGCAAUAUGAAAGAACUCUGAAAACACACACCAGAGACAUGCAUGUUCUGCUUUAUAUAUAACCAAAGUCGUUACAAGAAAGAAGAGAAAGUGCUUAUCUAUUUGUUACAAGAGAUACAAAUUACAUGAGAUUUAAAUACAAGAUAAAAUGCCCUCCCGUUUGCAAGCUAUCCAGUUUGAACUGGAUGUGAUCCUAUUCUCUACCCAUAAAAAUAAUACUGAAUUUAAAGGGAUUUGCAGUCAGGACAGACAAUAAUGAUUUUCCAGCUGCAAGCAUCAAUCUAUAGGAAAAACCUAAUUGAUAAUAAUAAAAAAAGGCUUGGAAUGUGAUGAUGGUUAGGAAAAAUCCAGUACGUUCGUGCACCGUGAUUGUCAGCAUGAAUGUAAAUGCUAAACCCAUGCAGAAAAGGGAGUAGAAAUUAAAAUAUGUCGCCAUCUCCAUGCAUAUUGUUACAUAAUUGGUACCACCUAAUGAUAUCUGACAAAGGAUUAUAGCGGCGAUGAGGGAGAGAUUCAUAGCUAGCAUGUCGAAAAAAACAUAAGCUCUCAUCAGAUUUUUUGAACUACCACUGCUAAGAUCACGACCUGAUCCAGGCACAGUGAUAGCACCAGCGAAGGUUACUCCAACUACCAGUACUGCCACCACGAGAAGAUUCCCUACCCCUCUGUUCAGUUGCUCCGUCGUUAACGUCGUUCUUGGUAAAUCAAAGAUAGGACUGAUGCAAGGCUCAGGCAUAUCAUCUGCCUCCUCCAAAACUUUAAAUACCUUACGCUGAACAACAAAGUGUUUAUUAGAAAAUAUAUGGUAAACAAAUUAAUUAUAUAAAGCAUCAUGACAAUGCUAGCUUAAUGUCCCAUAAUAACGAAGAAGGAAUUCAUCGCUAUAUAUUUAGUAGAUCAGCGAGGCAUUCCAUAUUUUUGAGCAAGUAAAGAACUUUAUUUCCACUUUGGAUUAAUCAAAUUUAAGGUAAUUGAAAGAAAUCUAUCAUUCCCUUUUCUAUAAAGUUGCAACAUGGACAGAAUGUGGAUGUGAAAGUUUUUGCUAUACUAGAAUGUAUUUACUUCAAUCACCUGAUUAGCUUCUUACGUGGACCAAAGCAACUAGAAUAUAAUUUGACUUGGAUGCGAAUGGUUCUUUAAAUGGCUAACCAAAACCCUCUGGUAUUGAUGAAUAUAACAGAAUUAAAUGUGACUGAGGUUUUGACAAUUAAAAAAUCUUUUUAAAUGAGUAUUGAUUGUUCCUAUGCAAUUACUAGAAGCUGGAUUGUGGAGUAUAAUGCCAUUACUAGAAGCUUAUUGGCUAUAAGAGAUAAUUAAUGAAGUUAUCUUUAUUGGCAUAUGGAAAAAACUAGAGAGUAUUUAUGC